UCUGGAAGCAGGUAUAAUCUAUCCUAUAGCUGAUAGUAGAUGGGUAAGUCCUGUUCAUUGUGUCCCUAAGAACGGAGGUAUAACUGUUGUUCCUAAUGAUAAGAAUGAACUUAUUCAAAGAAUUGUUACAGGCUAUAGAAUGGUAAUUGAUUUUAGAAAAUUAAAUAAAGCAACUAGAAAAGAUCAUUACCCUUUGCCUUUUAUUGAUCAAAUGCUUGAAAGAUUAUGUAAGCACACACACUUUUGCUUCCUUGAUGGAUAUUCUGGUUUUUCACAAAUACCUGUUUCUCAACCUGAUCAAGAAAAGACCACUUUUACUUGUCCUUUUGGAACCUAUGCUUAUAGACGUAUGCCUUUUGGUUUAUGUAAUGCACCUGCUACCUUUCAAAGAUGUAUGACUACUAUAUUCUCUGACUUUUGUGAAAAGAUUGUUGAGGUUUUCAUGGAUGACUUUUCUGUUUACGGGAAGUCUUUUGAUGAUUGUUUAAGCAAUCUUGAGCGAGUUUUGUAGAGAUGUGAACAAACAAAUCUUGUCUUGAAUUCGGAGAAGUGCCACUUUAUGGUAAAUGAAGGCAUUGUCUUGGGUCAUAAAAUUUCUGAAAGAGGUAUUGAAGUGGCCAAAGCUAAGGUUGAUGCAAUUGAGAAAAUGCCAUGUCCUAAAGAUAUAAAAGGUAUUCGUAGUUUCCUAGGUCAUGCUGGUUUCUAUAGGAGAUUUAUCAAAGACUUCUCUAAAAUUUCUAGGCCUCUCACUAGUCUCUUGCAAAAGGAUAUUCCUUUUGUUUUUGAUGAUGAUUGUUUAGAAGCCUUUGAAACACCCAAGAAAGCCUUAAUUUCUGCACCUAUUGUUCAACCACCUGAUUGGAACUUGCCUUUUGAAAUUAUGUGUGAUGCUAGUGAUUAUGUUGUUGGUGCUGUUCUAGGACAAAGAGUUGAUAAAAAAUUGAAUGUUAUUCAUUAUGCUAGUAAAACUCUAGACAGUGCUCAAAGAAAUUAUGCUACUACUAUAAAAGAAUUCUUAGCAGUGGUGUUUCCUUGUGAUAAAUUUAGACCUUAUAUUGUUGAUUCCAAAGUAACUGUUCACACAGACCAUGCUGCUAUUAAAUAUCUUAUGGAAAAGAAAGAUGCUAAACCUAGACUUAUUCGUUGGGUUCUUUUUCUACAAGAAUUUGAUUUACAUAUCAUUGAUAGAAAAGGAGCUGAGAACCCCGUAGCUGAUAACUUGUCUAGGCUUGAAAAUGUGCUUGAUGACCCACUUCCUAUUGAUGUAGUUUUCCUGAUGAGGAUUUAGCUGCAAUAAAUGUUUCUCAUAGUACUCCUUGGUAUGUUGAUUAUGCUAACUACAUUUUGUUGCAACAUAUGUACCACCUAGCUUUACAUACCAACAAAAGAAAAAAUUCUUCUAUGAUUUAAGACAUUACUUUUGGGAUGACCCAUAUCUCUAUAAAGAAGGAGUAGAUGGUAUUAUUAGACGUUGUGUACCUGAGCAUGAACAGGGACAAAUCCUAUGGAAAUGUCACUCCGAAGCUUAUGGAGGGCAUCAUGCUGGAGAUAGAACUGCUCAUAAGGUAUUGCAGUCUGGAUUUUAUUGGCCUACUCUCUUCAAGGAUGCCUGUAAGUUUGUCUCAUCUUGUGAUGAAUGCCAAAGAAUAGGUAAUAUCGGUAAGCGUCAAGAAAUGCCUAUGAAUUAUUCACUUGCUGUUGAACCAUUUGAUGUUUGGGGAUUUGAUUACAUAAGAACUUUUCCUUCCUCUAAUGGGUAUACACAUAUUUUGGUUGCUGUUGAUUAUGUUACUAAGUGGGUAGAAGCUAUUCCAACCAGUAGUGCUGAUCACAACACCUCUAUUAAAAUGCUUAAGGAAGUUAUCUUCCCAAGGUUUGGAGCCCCUAGAUAUUUAAUGACUGAUGGUGGUUCACAAUUUAUUCAUGGUGCUUUUCGUAAAAUGCUUGCCAAGUAUGAUGUUAACCAUAGAAUUGCAUCACCCUAUCAUCCUCAGUCUAGUGGUCAAGUUGAACUUAGCAAUAGAGAAAUAAAAUUAAUUUUGCAAAAGACUGUCAAUAGGUCCAGGAAGAAUUGGUCUAAGAAAUUAGAUGAUGCACUUUGGGCUUAUAGAACAACAUAUAAAAAUCCUAUGUGUAUGUCUCCUUAUAAAAUGGUUUAUGGAAAAGCUUGUCAUUUGCCUCUUGAGUUAGAACAUAAAGCAUAUUGGGCAGUUAAAGAACUCAAUUAUGAUUUCAAACUUGCUGGUGAAAAGAGGUUAUUUGAUAUAAGCUCAUUAGAUGAAUGGAGAACCCAAGCUUAUGAAAAUGCAAACUUAUUCAAAGAAAAGGUUAAAAGAUGGCAUGACAAAAGAAUUCAAAAGCGUGAGUUUAAAGUCGGAGAGUAUGUUCUUUUGUACAACUCUCAUUUCAGAUUCUUUGCAGGAAAACUCCUCUCGAAAUGGGAAGGCCCCUAUGUCAUUGAGGAGGUUUACCGGUCUGGAGCCAUCAAAAUAAAUAAUUCGGAAGGUACUAACCCGAAGGUUGUCAAUGGAUAACGAAUAAAGCAUUAUAUCUCAGGUACGCCCAUUAAUGUUGAAAGUAAUAUCAUCCAAACUUUGACACCGGAAGAACACAUAAAAGAGUCCUUCCGGAACACUCCAGAAUCGUGAAAAUAAGGAGGUACGUGAUACGGUAAGUAAACGGACUCCGAAAAAUCCGCAAAAAUAUUUUUUAUUAGUUUUGGAAUAUUUAAGAAUUUUGGAACUAAAGAAACUUCCAGGAAGCAUCCCCUGGUGGGCACAAGACACCAGUGCGCGCCAGGCUUGCUUGGCGCCCCGAGGUGGGUUGUGCCCACCUGGGACACCUUCUGUACUCCGUUUUUUCUCCCGUAUGCUUGUCCUCCAAGAUAAAAAAAUCUAUAUAUACUUCCCGAACCUGUUAAUCACCAUAUCGCGAAGAAAUCCUCUAUUCUCUUUUUCCUUGCUGUUUUCUGUCAGAUCCCAUCCACCAUGGCCUCUUCAAGCUCCUCCAAGGAAAAGUUCUUCAAGAACGUCAUCAGCCCAUAUCUGCGGGAGGUGGUGCAGCACCCUCAAACCAUCCAGAUGCAUGACGGGGUGUUGUACAUCCGUGAUGAGGAAGGUCCCAAGGGCACGGAACCAUGGAGGCCAGGCUUGAAGCCAUGGAUCAGGAAGUCUUCUGGUGCAAGGGGAUGGUGGAGCAUGGGCUCAAUGCCAAUCACCUCAUGAUCACGGACCUUUCCCGUGAUCUCAAGGUGGAUGGCAAGCCCAUGAAGGACAUCAUCUUCACCCUCAACGAGCAAAUCAGCUUCCUCCAAAGCCAGAUCUAUGACCUCCAAAACCAAGUCUUUUUGUAUGAGGCGAGGUUCAAAGGUAUGAGUUUGGCUGCUAGUUGUAGGACCCGUGAGACUCACUCCUCCUCUUAUGAUGGUGGACCACUGCCAUGGAAAUCCGAGGACAAGAUCUCUUCUUCAUCACCACCAUCAUCUUCUUCACCACCAAAACAGAACUAAGUAUCGGGUAUGGGCACUCCCCUUGGCUUCCGCCAAGCUUGGGGGAGGUGCCCCGGUAUCGUAUCAUCCCACUAUCUCUUUGCUUUUACUUAUUUUAGUUCGAUCUUUUUGCCUUAGAUGAAUAAAAGUUUAGCUCGCUCUUUGAGAGUUUGCUUAGUGACCCAUCCUUGUAAUCGUGUGCAAGUUAUAUAAUAAAGUUAGUUUGAGUUUUUGCUUUCUUUACUUUCAUGUUGCAAACAAAAGAAAAUAAAUAAGAAAGAAAGAAAAAGAGAAAUGAAAUAAAUAAAAGAAAGGAAAUAAAUCAGUAAGAUCAUAUACUAAUCCUAUGGUAGGUGAUGGCACCACAUAAGGAAAAGUAUAAGUAGGAAAUUUUAUUAGAGAUUGACAAACAUAGUAUUAGUCAAUGAUGCAACUCAUGAAAGAAUUAAUAAGGGAAGAGAAGAUUCACAUAUAAAUAUACUAUCCCAGAAAUCUUUUGUGAUUGUGAGCCCUCAUCAAAAUAUUAUAUGCCAAAAUUGUUGACGUUGGACAAGGAAGACAACUUAAUGGUUUAUGUUAGUUUAUAUUCACAUAGAAGUCAUAUUGUCAUAGAUCCUUCAACAUGUGGUGCUUGCCCCUAUCUUUGCUAGCCAAAAAUUCCGCACUAAGUAGAGAUACUACUUGUGCAUCCAAAAACCCUUAAACCCAAAUCUUAUGUUCAAGUGUCCACCAUACCUACCUAGGGAUUGAGAAAGAUCCCCCAAGUAAGUUGUCAUCGGUGCAAAAAUGCAAUAAAAAUUGCUUCUAAAAAUGUGAGAUCAUUUAGUGUAAGAGAAAAUUGAGUGUUGUAUGACCUUGGAUGCAAAGAAUAAAAGCGACUGACUGCAUAAUAAAGGUUGUCAUCUUAAGGGGCAAUACAACGUGACGUUCUUUUGCACUAAGGGAUUGAGCAUACAAACAAAUAAGCGCAUGGCAACCUCUGCUUCCCUCUGCGAAGGGCCUAUCUUUUACUUUUUAUGUAAUUACUUUUAUGCCAAGAGUCAAAGUUUUUCUUCUAUUCCCUUUUAUUUUUCUCCUUUGGCAAGCAUCAUGUGGUGAGGAAAGAUCUAGGCACAUAUGUCUAGUUGAAUAUAGAUAGGAUAAGUUAUUAUUGUUGACAUCACCCUUGAGGUGAAUAUGUUGCGAGGCAAAACUAUAAGCCCAUAUCUUUCUAUGUGUCUGGUUGAAAUGUUUUGCUCAUGUGUACGCGGUGAGUGUUAGCAAUCAUAGAAGACUAUAUGAUGGUUGAGUAUGUGGACUUGCCUAAAGGCUCCGACACGUGACCCUUCCUGAAAAGAUGAUGAAUUAUAGUCGCAAAGUUGACUGAGAACAUAGUUUGUUCGUUUCUAAUAGAGUUUUUGCUUUAUACUUCGAUUGUGUGAUGAACUAUUACUUAUUCAUGAGAAGUAUAUGAUAAAAGUUCUAUUAUAAAAGCCAUAUGUUUAAAUUUGUUGCUGUUAUAAUAAUCAACAUGAUGCUUCUAUGUCUGUAUUUUGUUUUUAUCGACACCUCUCUCUCAAAGCAUGUGGACAUGUUUUUCGAUUUUGGUUUUCGCUUGAGGACAAGCGAGGUCUAAGCUUGGGGGAGUUGAUACGUCCAUUUUGCAUCAUGUUUUCUUACUGUUAUUUAUGAUGGUUUUAUCCAUAAUAAUGCUUUUUGGAGUAAUUAUAAUGCGUUUUGUCUCAUAAUUUGCAAGGUAUACACCAAGGGGGAGAAUUCUGGCAGCUGGAAAUCUGGACCUGGAAAAGCUACGUCAGGCCACCUAUUCUGCACAACUCCAAAUGAGCUGAAACUUCAUGGAGAUUUUUAUGGAAUAUUUAAGAAUUAUUGGAGCAAAUAACUACCAUAGGGGGCCCACCAGGUGGGCACAACCUACCUGGGCGCGCCAGGGAGCCCAGCGCGCCCUGGUGGGUUGUGCCCUCCUCGGCCCACCUCCGGUGCCCAUCUUCUAGUAUAUACGUCAUUUUGACCUAGAAAAAAUAAGGAGAGGACUUUCGAGAUGGAGUGUUGCCGUCUCGAGGCAGAACUUGUGCAGGAGCACUUUUGCCCUCCGGUGGAGCGAUUCCGCCGGGGGAACUUCCCUUCCGGAGGGGGAAAUCAUCGUCAUCAUCAUCACCAACAACUCUCCCACCUUGGGGAGUGCAAUCUCCAUCAACAUCACCAUCUCAUCACAAACCUUAGUUCAUCUCUUGUGUUCAAUCUUGUUACCGGAACUAUAAUUGGUGCUUGUGGGUGACUAGUGGUGUUGAUUACAUCUUGUAGUUGAUUACUAUAUGGUUUAUUUGGUGGAAGAUUAUAUGUUCAGAUCCAUUAUGCUAUUUGAUACCCCUCUGAUCAUGAGCAUGUUUAUCAUUUGUGAGUAAUUACUUUUGUUCUUGAGGUCACGGGAGAAAUCAUGUUGCAAGUAAUCAUGUGAACUUGAUAUGUGUUUGAUAUUUUGAUAGUAUGUAUGUUGUGAUUCCCUUAGUGGUGUCAUGUGAACGUCGACUACAUGACACUUCACCAUAUUUGGGCCUAAGGGAAUGCAUUAUGGAGUAGCAAUUAGAUGAUGGUUUGUGAGAGUGACAGAAGCUUAAACCCCAGUUUAUGCGCUAUUCCGUAAGGGACCGAUUGGAUCCAAGAGUUUAAUGCUAUGGUUAGAAUGUAUUCUUAAUACUUAUCUCGUAGUUGCGGAUGCUUGCAGGAGGGUUAAUCAUAAGUAGGAGGUUUGUUCAAGUAGGAACAACACCUAAGCACCGGUCCACCCACAUAUCAAAUUAUCAAAGUAGCGAACACAAAUCGAACCAACAUGAUGAAAGUGACUAGAUGAAAUUCCCGUGUACCCUCAAGAACACUUUGCUUAUCAUAAGAGACCGUUUUAGCCUGUCCUUUGCCUCAAAAGGAUUGGGCUACCUUGCUGCACUUUUGCUACUACUAUCGUUACUUGCUCGUUACAAAUUAUCUUGCUAUCAAACUACUCCACUACUUACAAUUUCAGCACUUGCAGACCUUACCUUACUGAAAACUACUUGUCAUGUCCUUAUGCUCCUCGUUGGGUUCAACACUCUUACUUAUCGAAAAGAGCUACAAUUGACCCCCUAUACUUGUGGGUCAUCAGAAACUCACUUUCCAAAUGUCAGCUUCAACCCUAAUUACAUUCAAAUGCAACAACAUUCAGUUAGUUUAGAAACAAAAAAUCAAUUCGUUCAGAAACAAAAAAUUCAAUACUAAGCUACAUUUUAGUUAGUUCAAAUUCAGUACUAAGAUACAUUAAGUCUAAAAUGUGCAGCAAUAAUCAGUUUGUUAAGAAAGAUUCAGUCCUAAACUACAUUAAACAUAUGACACCAACAUUCAACUGUUUCAGAAAGAUUCAGUAUCUCCACCAGCUUGCAUUGCAAAUAUGAAACCCUAGCUACAAGGAUAGGUUCGGAAAGCUCACGUAGGUGGCGAUUUUGCAGUGCAUAGGUCCUCCACCACCUUGCGGGCGACAUCAGCCAACGACCGUGUUGCCGACAAUGAGAGGAACAAGCUGACGUGAUACGUCUCCAAUGUAUCUAUAAUUUUUUAUUGUUCCAUGCUAUUAUAUUAUCAAUCUUGGAUGUUUUAUAUACACUUUCAAGCAAUUAUAUCAUUUUUUGGGACUAACCAAUUAACUUAGUGCCUAGUGAUAGUUGCUGAUUUUUUGCUUGUUUUUGGUUUUUCAGAAUAUCUGUACCAAACAAAGUCUAAAUGCCACGAAACUUUUUGGAGAUUUUGUUCUAGCAAUAAGACACUAUGGAAGCUUUGGGAGGGGACGAGAAGAUGGAGCAGUGGACCAUGAGGCACCAGGGGCGCCCUGGUGGCUUGCAGGGCCCAUGUGGCUCCCUUGUACCUAACUCCGCCUCUAUAGAUUGUCUAAAAUCGGGACACCAACAAGGCAGUCCAUGAAAUACUUUUUCCGCCAUUGCAAGUUCCUGUUCUUGACAGAUCCCAUCUGGAGGCCUUUUUUGGCACUCUAGUAGAGGGGGAUUCGAUCAUGGAGGGGCUCUAAAUCAUCCUUGCUACCCUUUCGAUGUUGCCUGAGUAGUUUACCACGGACCUACGGGUCCAUAGUUAGUAGCUAGAUGGCUUCUUCUCUCUAUUUGAUCUUCAAUACAAUGUUCCCGUUCAUGUUCUUGGAGUUCUAUCCGAUGUAAUCACUUUUUGCGGUGUGUUUGUUGGGAUCCGAUGAAUUGUGAGUUUAUGAUUAGAUCUAUCCAUGAAUAUUAUUUGAGUUUUCUCUGAACUCUUUUAUGCAUGAUUGUUAUAGCUUCGUAUUUCUCUCUGAUCUAUUGAUCUGGUUUGGCCAACUAGAUAGAUUUUUUCUUGCAAUGGAAGAGGUGCUUUGUAAUGAGUUCGAUCUUGCGGUGCUCAAUCCCAGUGACAGAAGGGGACAUGACACGUAUGUAUCGUUGCUAUUAAGGGUAAAAAGAUGGGGUUUAUUCAUACGUGAGUUUAUCUUGUCUACAUCAUGUCAUCUUGCUUAAGGCGUUACACCAUUUUUUUAUGAACUUAAUACACUAGAUGCAUGCUGGAUAGCGGUCGAUGUGUGGAGUAAUAGUAGUAGAUGCAGGCAGGAGUCGGUCUACUUGUCUCGGCCAUGAUGCCUAUAUGCAUGAUCAUUGCCUUCGAUAUCGUUAUAAUUAUUUGCUUUUCUAUCAAUUGCCCAACAGUAAUUUGUUUACCCUUCGUAUGCUAUUUUCAAGAGAGAAGCCUCUAGUAAAAACUAUGGCCCCGGGUCUAUCUUUUAUCAUAUAUAAAAACCAAAAAUACCUUGCUGUGUUUUUCUUUUAUUUAUUUUAUUUUGUAUGUUUGUCUGAUCUAUCUAUCAAAUACCAUACAAUUUAAUCUUGCUCGUAACCGUCAAGGGAUUGACAACCCCUUGUUCGCGCUGGGUUGCAAGGAUUUGUUGUUUGUGUGCAGGUGCUGCUAAUGAGUUGUUGCUUGGUUCUCCUACUGGAUUGACAACCUUGGUUCUUAGCUGAGGGGAAUACUUAUCUCUACUGUACUGCAUCAUCCUCUCCUCUUCGGGGAAAUCCCAACGCAGUUCACAAGUAGCAUGCUGCCGCAGCAAUCCUCCUCCUCCUCAUCCUCGGUGUGGCUGCCCCUUACCACGCCGCCAUUAGGCCCCAUCCGCCCUUCCAACGUGUUUCCCUCGUCGCCAAUGGAACCGACCAUGCCUUCUUCAGAUUUCGCCGCCGCCAUGCCGCCUUAGUGAGGGGGAGGGAGAGUGGAGUGAGUGACGAGAGAGAGAGAGAGAGAGAGAGAGAGAGAGAGAGAGGAGAGUGUGUGUGUGUGUGUGCUGGUUCAUUCCGACCGAUCCGCUUCCGACAGUCGACCGUCUCCCGCUGUUAGCGGUGCGCCAUCCCCCGCUGUCGGCACGCGAGUAAUCUGCCACGUCAAAAUGUGCUCAUUUUUUGGUUCAGUUUUUUUGCCACUGUCAAAUUUUCGGCGUGGUGCGAAGUGUCACAUUUUGUAAAGUGGUGGUUCUCCGAGAGCUAUGACACUAAAGUGGUGGUUUUAUGCGUUUUACUCAAGAUGGAAGGACUAUGCAAUUUCAACUUCUCAUUAGAGUCCCCAUUUUUUGUUAUUAGGUGAAAGAAAGGCAAAGGUUCAUCUGAACACCGAAUACACUAUCCCAUAUCCAAAUAGCAGUAGCUGCUUUGUACACAAACCGGUAGUGCUAAGAGCAAAUCCGAAGUCAAAUAUCCACAACUAUUAAAAUAGACUGUAACUUCAUGUUUUUAUCAAGUUAAUGACUAUCCCAAGCAUGCAAGCCUUAAAUUCAGUACUAAACCAAUGAUAAUAAGCCCAAGAUAUGACAUGACAAACAUGUGCCAACCAAUUUCCUAACUUUCCAACCCUCCUAUGGACGCCGAUGAGGUGAUGAUCUUCACCCCUCUUCGUCCGCUGCUCGGGCAGCUAGUGGAGGGGAGUGGGCUCCCCUUUCUAUUCUAGUUAGUCCAUAGGUUUAGGAUCUCAUCUUCAUGUAGCUGCGCCAGUUUGGAGUGGUUGGUGUUGCAUCAAAUAAGGUGGCUUCGGUGUCUCCUCACCAAGGCGAAGUUAUCUCCAGCGGCGCCGCUAAGCCGAUGGCCUCAUAUGAUCUUUGUUCGUCUGGAACGGUGGGCUUUAUGUUUUCCUGUGUCUGGCGGUUAUUGUGUGUCAUGGCGGCGCCGACAAGUGGGAUAUGUUGGUACUGGUUCAAGGUUGGUGGCCCGAUGGAAGGCGGAUCUAGUGUUCUUCCCCAGCAAAGACAGUGGGAUGCGUGUAGUCCGGAUCUAGGUCGGCAUGGGGAAUGUUCUCGACCGACCAGCCACAUGGCCAAGUGCAUGUUCUGCAGGUCUAGUCUUCGAAUCUCGAUGCCUUGAAGGCUAUGGCACCAGUCUGGAUUUCUGUUUGCUGGUGUUCAAUCUCUUCCUAUGCGUCUCAACGGUGCUGGCGGUCGAUGACGGUCUCAUAUGUAGUUGGUUGCAGGGAUCCCAAUGGACUUUUUUGUUAUGUUCUUUUAUUUGAGGUUCUUUUUGCAAAGUAUUCUGGACACAAGUCAUGUCAUGUUCUUUCUAUUAUUAGUUUUCGCAUGUAUGUGCAUUUAUUAAUAAUACGUUUACUCUUUUGAUAAAGGUUAGAUUUUAUUGGCUCAAAAUGAAGCAUCAAGUGGACACAAACACAAAGGGAACACAUCCUACCUUUGCAUAACUGAGAUGCACAGAGCUAAAACAAACGCGCACACACAACUAAAUAUGUCGGCAUAUGGCAAAGCCAUGCAAGACCAAAACUAUGCUUAGCACAGGAAAAAGAAAAAAAGGAAACUAUGAAGCGAUCAAAACAACGAUUGACAAACUACAUCAAUGACCAUAUCUGCAACAACCAUCCCUUGACAUCAUUAGGACCGCGUUUUUCUUAAAGAUACGUCUUCAAGAAGAGAACGACACUCAAGCGCCGCCGUCAUCAGAUCCAACCACCAAUGAUCACAUUCUAAGUUUUCAUCCUGAAGAACAAGUCCGGGCAAUGCUUUCACCAAGUUCACAACACACAACAUUGUCAUUGCCAGUUAACCAACUCGGGUCAAACCUAAGUUUUUCAGCCCGGAGCUCGAGACCGGAUACUCAAGAAAUACAACCAAAUUGAAGUCAAUCAUAGUAGUUGUCGCCACCACUUUUCUGCGAUCCCAGCAGCUACAUGCAUUGGGCUAGAAACCCACCAUGCUGUUGCAUCACCAUACCCUCUGUGUUAAGCCAUCAUUCAUAGAUUGCAUCGCACAGUCGAAGGCAAACUGGCCGGAGUGGGAGCACAGUGAAGCCUUCAGGCUGCAUCCCACAACCUCGCUAGUACGAGCCAUUGGUCGGUGUCCACAUCUGAAGGAGAAAUCCUCCCAAAUCAAACACCUAGCCCAAGAAUUCACCCGAUUAACCAGUUAACUCGUCGAUUAAUCCCUACUCAUAGAGCCACCUAGCAGCCGAUAAACUGAUAAAUCAUUUGAUUAAUGGAUUAACUUGCCGAUUAGCCUAUUAAUCCCUUACUCGCCAACCAACCGCGCAGCUAUCAAUUAACAAUUUACUCAACAAAGGCUAGCCGAGACGUUCACCGAUUCGAUUGGAUGCGACCACCAGCGAGACAUGGAGUGACCAGCCCCGACCCUCACUAGCCGCUGCAGGGAGCGCCACCUACGCUGCCUAUACUCCGUUUAUUGAUUAAUAUAAUGCGUGCGGUUCCAAAAAUACAUGGAUGAAAAAAGGACAACCUUAGUAGUAGUAGAAAUAUGUAACAAAGCAGUUGCAAAUUUGUAUCAUCAGAGUUGCCCACAAGUGGUUGUGCACCUCUCUAUCCCGUCAUACAUAUGUAGUACUACUACGAUUUGAUGGGCAUAUAAAAGCAAAUCCAAUUAAUUAAUUAGCAAUUUAUGGUACUACAUUAAUAAUUAAUUAAAUGAGAGGAAAGUACAAUGAAUGCGNNNNNNNNNNNNNNNNNNNNNNNNNNNNNNNNNNNNNNNNNNNNNNNNNNNNNNNNNNNNNNNNNNNNNNNNNNNNNNNNNNNNNNNNNNNNNNNNNNNNNNNNNNNNNNNNNNNNNNNNNNNNNNNNNNNNNNNNNNNNNNNNNNNNNNNNNNNNNNNNNNNNNNNNNNNNNNNNNNNNNNNNNNNNNNNNNNNNNNNNNNNNNNNNNNNNNNNNNNNNNNNNNNNNNNNNNNNNNNNNNNNNNNNNNNNNNNNNNNNNNNNNNNNNNNNNNNNNNNNNNNNNNNNNNNNNNNNNNNNNNNNNNNNNNNNNNNNNNNNNNNNNNNNNNNNNNNNNNNNNNNNNNNNNNNNNNNNNNNNNNNNNNNNNNNNNNNNNNNNNNNNNNNNNNNNNNNNNNNNNNNNNNNNNNNNNNNNNNNNNNNNNNNNNNNNNNNNNNNNNNNNNNNNNNNNNNNNNNNNNNNNNNNNNNNNNNNNNNNNNNNNNNNNNNNNNNNNNNNNNNNNNNNNNNNNNNNNNNNNAAAGGGCCCCAAAGGCAAGAUCAGAAGCAUCAACUACUUGACAGCGUCAGUGGUCGGAGCAGAGGUAGCUAGCUAGCACAGUGCCAAGCUGAAGCUGUGCAGCGCGCGGCCUGAGGCCGCCUAAGGUUUUUGCCCCUGGUCUCGAGCUGCUAGCUCUACAUAUACGUCUCGCGGUGGGGUUCGUGGCAAUGGCCGGUGUCGAGUGCGGCGGUGGGGACUGGCCCUUCUCCGCCGAGGAAGCGUACGCCGAUUCCUCUGCGCUGUUGGCGGAGAUCGGCUGGGCGGCCGGUUUUGUCGACGACGGCUGCGCCGGGGAGCUGCUUCCGCCGCUGGAUCCGCCUCCGGCCACACCAACGGGGUCCAUGGAAGGGGCCGGCGCCUCGUCGAGCUCCACCGAUGACGGUGCCACGCGGGAGGCUGCAGACGCCGACGGCAGGCCGGCCGCCGCGACAGAGGCAGCGUAAGUAAAGCUGCGGUAGCUUAAUUCACCGACGGAUCGUCGCCAUGCUCAUCUCCUCUCUUCCACGCCAUGAGCGUUAAUUCGUAAUUACCAUCGACUUUUCCAAAAAAAAAACUUAGUUUAAUUUCCUUCUCCUCGAUAAUAUUUCACUUUGCAUUUCAUUUCGUUAUAUAAUUUCUCUUUUACAUUCGUCCUUGUUGCGAGUACUUUUAUAUUCGUCUGAAUUAUUCGUUAAUAGCACGUCAUCGUUUCCAAGGGCAGUCCGGUAAAUUCGGUAAUGAGGCUGAGAGAGUGUGGUGCUGUGUGGUUAAUUUGCAUGGAACGUUGCGCCGGGAUUCGCGUGCUAAACCUCCCCUUCCCCUCUCAUGGCCUUUUUAAGUCCACGAUAAGGUUGUUAAUUUGGAACGUAUGCUAGCUAGAUUCACGGCCACCACUAGUAUACGGAGUAUUUUUAUAGGGGUUUUGGACUAUUGAUGAUUGAUUGAAAUAAAAAGGGAACGAUUUGUCUCUUGCGCCAUGCGUUAAUUUGGUCUUCUCUGUACAAAUGGGAGCUAACAGCAACCUCCAUCUAUGCGUGCUUGGAUAUGGAUGCAGGAGCAAGCCGGCGCCGGCGCUGGCCCCGGGGAAGACGAUGAAAAAGCAGAAGCGGGCGCGGCAGCCACGGUUCGCGUUCAUGACCAAGACGGAGAUAGACCACCUCGAGGACGGAUACCGCUGGAGGAAGUACGGACAGAAGGCCGUCAAGAACAGUCCUUUCCCAAGGUAACGUAUUCCUAUCGUCCGAUCCAUAGCUUAAUUUGUACAUACGUACGUCCCGUGGAAAACUCUACACAUUAUUUUCUUUUGCGAGGAAAAAUUCUACACAUUAUAUGCUUCGUAUAUAUGAAUGAUCUCCAUAUCCUAGCUGGUCGGCAGAGCUCCUGGUUCUGCCUAAAAAUCCAUCUCCAUAUCCUAACUAGCAGCAUAUUAGAUCAUGCAAAAAAUGCGUAAGAUAAUUCAGUGUGUAAUUGUGUAUAGACUAUUAAGAUACUCCCUCUGUAAACUACUGUAAACUAAUAUAAAAUCGUUUAGGUCACUAGUUUACAGAGGGAGUAGUUGAGAGUGAAAGCGUAGGACAUAUGUAUGUGCAUGUGAGUACGUAAUAGGGUGCAAUACCAUAUAAAUUUGGUGUGCAUUGAAUAUGUAAAUCAUUUGGUAACUAAUUGCCGUUAACUACUAGUGUGUGUGUGGGGGGUUUCUCCGAUACUCAUCGCUUCAUAACGAACAUGACAGUACGUAGUUUCGUAAACUGUGUGCAUACAUUCUGCUUUAGGGUAGCUUUCCUCUGCUGAUCAGUUUGUUAAGGAGGUAGUUAAGUUUAGCUCUGAUUUAGCUAGUGCACUGCAAGAUAGAGAGAGAUCGAACCUAUGACGUUGUGGGUCGAAUCCUAGUAAUCAAUUCACUGGGCAAAAUUAAUGAAUGCGCACAGUACUGGUACUACUUUGCACGUAGUACUUGUACGUUUUAUACGGAUGUCAUUUUAGAGGAACCCUUGGCAUGCAUUCGUCAUGUUUUUAGUUUUUCUUUCUUUUUUGACAGGAGAAAAUAAUGUAUAGUACCUAACCUGACAUGUAGCUAGGCCCAUUUUUCACUUUAUCCCGCAAAUCACAUGAUUCAUUUUGCCAUGGAUGAAUGAAGUGUUGCAAUUAUAUUCUCUUACGUAGGAGCUACUACCGGUGCACCAACAACAAGUGCACGGUGAAGAAGCGCGUGGAGCGCUGCUCCGACGACCCCUCCGUUGUCAUCACCACCUACGAGGGCCAGCACUGUCACCACACCGUCACCUUCCCCCGCGGCGCCGGCGCCGCCACCCUCGCCAGCCAGAUGGCCUUCUCGGCACACCACCACCACCUCAUGUACAACGACUUGCCGGCGCUGCACUCGCCGACCACUCAAAACCCACUCUUCAGCGUGCCGGCGAUGUCGUCGUCGCUGCUCCAGCCGCUACACUGCAACCGACAGGAGCUGCAACUUGCAAGCUACACAACCCAGGCAUCGUCCAUCUCGUCGCCAGGGAGUGUUCCCGCCGUCGAUAAGGGGCUUCUGGAUGACAUGGUGCCUCCAGCGAUGAGGCACGGAUAGAUCGACGGUGUCGAUCGCCGCUAGCUAGCUUAAUUAAUUAUUAGCUGCUUAAUUAUGCAUGGAUGGACCACUGAAUAGAGAGAAGAAUAGGGUAAUUAUAUAGUAGUAUGGUGGUACAUAGGUAUAUAUUUUACAAUGUGGUUAAUUAUUUCUUGAACAUGUCAUUUACUGGUAAUAGAUUAAAUAUGCACUGUGUAAGUAGUACUCUACUCCGUACAACGUAUGUAUAAUUACUGUGUGGUUAUACAAAGUAAUUAUACGCACUGCAUGUUGAUUAAAUUAUGAGUAUAUGGCUUGUGCCAACAUUGUAUAUGUAUGGUCGAUGCAAAUUCUAAUUAAUUAUACUAGUCAUCAACAUGUACACCUAUGUGACCUGUAGUAACUACUACUCCCUCCUCCCCGCAAAAAAAAAGAGAAAAAAAUCUACUACUCCCUCCGUCCCGAAUUACUUGUCACUUGUCGCAAAAAUGGAUGCAUGUAAGUAAUUCGGGACGGAGAGAGUAGUAUUUAGUUUGGUUAUCUAACAAAAAAUAGGCAGGAUUUUAACCAAAUAUUCUAUCCCAAAUUCCAUUUUUAGACAAUCACAAGCUUCCUCAGUAUAUUGUGUGUUGCCAAUGAUGUUUAGACCAUCAACAUACAUUGAGAUAAUAUGAAAUCAUGUUGAGGAUUUCUUGAUGGGCACGCAUGGGUUCUCAUCAUUCUUACAAUAACCUUUUGUUAUAAGGUUCUCAUUAAGUCAGUUGUACCAAAUAUAUUCCAACAAAUUUAGCCAUGGAGUGACUUGUAGACUUUACAAAAUAUAUGUUGCGUUUUGCGUUUGGUUUUGAAGUUGAAUUCAUGUGAAACUUAUAUAUCCAAAUCAAGUGACCCACAAGAAUAUAUGGUCACCACAUCCAUCAACUCCAUAGAUGGAUGAUUUCGAGCUGCAAUUGGGAUAAGGUAUUGGAAAAUGAUUCACAUAUAUCUGGAGAAUAGGUUUCGGCCAUCUGCGUGAAACCUUGUGCUACAAGUCUUGUUAUGUGUCUCAUCACCUCGUUAUUCCCUUUCCUAAUGAAAACGCUAUUGUUGAAAGACUCCCUAUAUCUUUUGGUGUACACGUCUCAGCUAGGCUUAACUCAACUUCUUAAAACAACAUUUCAAGCUGCUUUAUAUAUAAAGCAAAUCACCACAUCCAACAUCAUGUCCAAAUGCCGGAAAUAAAAUAUAAGUUUGGUAGGGCAACGACACAAACAUGCCAAAAAGAAGAAUAAAGUAAUGCGAUACAUGGCUCCAUGGAGCAGCCGUAUCCCUAACUAGGAGGCAAAGCACGGCGUCGGCUUGCCACACACAGAGUAUCAACAUACUGCCUAGCCGGUCCAUGCCUUGCAGCCUAGAGGGCGGAUGCAGGUGCUGCAAGAGGCUAGAAAUUUAAACACGGAGUUAGUGCCACGUUGGAAAAGGUCCGCUCGAUCACCAUCUUGUUAUGUGUCAUCCAAAGGGUCCAUGUCAAUGGCGCGAACAACAACCACAAGAGGCGUCUAUUGAUUACCUUUCAUCUGGUUUGUGAUGCAGAUAGUGCCUUUUCCCCUAGAGACCCUAGGUUUAUCGAACCCAUGAGGAGUGAUGCUUAGCAAGGAGAUUUCUGCAAAGAACUUGUUAUCUCAAAGAGUACUAGUUUUCUAGACCAAAUUCCCACAGUUAAAUAACAAGACAACAAUAAAGAAAUAGGCUAGGGAUAAAGGUUUCACAUGCAUCCUUGUAUUUGCAAUUGAGGAUAUUAUCUAGAUAAACAUCAUGGCACUGGUAAACACCGUUACAUAUGUGUAGUCAACGUAGUGUGGUCGAAUGCAUCCAAAUAACCCCAUGACCAACCAGCUAUCACCAUAUCGAGGUUCUAUUGUUCAAACCAAGGCCCUAUUUGACUCGCGGGGUUACCUCGUUUAUUAAGGAUUUAACCAGACCAACGCAUUGGAUGUGACUGCACAGUAUCUAACCUAGAGACUUGUGACAGUGCAACUAUCCCUGGGUGGUUUUGGUAAUUCCUAACAACAUAUAGCUCAUGGAGCUAAUGCUAUUUCAAGAUAGAUAUUUCAGGAAAGCUCAAUGAUUGGCAUGGCAUGGAUUAGAAAGUGGACCCUUCAAAAUGCUAAGGACAAAAGAUUGGCUCAAGCUCAAAGCACACGACCCUACAUUUUCUAUUUUAGUGAUCCAAGAUCACAUUGAGUCUAUAGGAAAAGGCAAUACUAUUAAGAAGGGAUGAGGUGUUGCUUAAUGAGGUGCUUGCUCAAAAUGCUUAGUGAUAUGCUCCAAAACCCUCCACUACUUUCUCAUAUCCACAUAUGUCCCAAACCAAAAGUCCAACUCGGCCCCACCGAUUCUUUCUAUCCGGCGCCACCGAGUUCAGUUGACAUAGCCACUGCCAGAAACCCUAGUCUUUUCGGUCUCACCGAUAGGGAUCUCGGUCUCACUGAGAUGGGAUUGUAAUCUCUCUGUUUCCCUUCGUAACGUUUCGGUCCAACCGAGAUGAGCGAUCGGUCCCACCGAGAUUGCAAUGCAAACACUCUGUUUCCCUUUCGUAACGUUUCGGUCCAACCGAGAUGAGCGAAUCGGUCCCACCGAGUUUGCCUGACCAACUCUCUGUUUGACUAUUACCAAAAUCGGUCCCGCCGAGUUUGUGUAAGCGGUCACACCGAGAUUACGUUAUGCCCUAACCCUAAUGAUAUCAGUCCCACCGAGUUGACAUGUUGGUCCCACCGAAACACCUAAUGGUCACAUUAUGAACCAAAUCGGUCUGACCGAGUUCUCUGAAUCGGUCCCACCGAGUUUGGUGAUUUGUGUGUAACGGUUAGAUUUUGUGUGGAGGCUAUAUAUGCCCCUCCACCCACUCUUCAUUCGUGGAGAGAGCCAUCAGAACAGGCCUACACCUCCAAUACAUAUUUUCUGAGAGAGAACCACCUACACUUGUGUUGAGGUCAAGAUAUUCCAUUCCAACCACAUAAAUCUUGAUCUCUAGCCUUCCCCAAGUUGCUUUCCACUCAAAUCUUCUUUCCACAAAAUCCAAUCCUAUGAGAGAGAGUUGAGUGUUGGGGUGACUAUCAUUUGAAGCACAAGAGCAAGGAGUUCAUCAUCAACACACCAUUUGUUACUUCUUGGAGAGUGGUGUCUCCUAGAUUGGCUAGGUGUCACUUGGGAGCCUCCGUCAAGAUUGUGGAGUUGAACCAAGGAGUUUGUAAGGGCAAGGAGAUCACCUACUUCGUGAAGAUCUACCCUAGUGAGGCAAGUCCUUCGUGGGCGACGGCCAUGGUGGGAUAGACAAGGUUGCUUCUUCGUGGACCCUUCGUGGGUGGAGCCCUCCGUGGACUCGCGCAACCGUUACCCUUCGUGGGUUGAAGUCUCCAUCAACGUGGAUGUACGAUAGCACCACCUAUGGGAACCACGGAUAAAAAAUCUCCGUGUCAACAUUGUGUUUGCUCCCUCAAACUCCUCCCUUUACCUUCAUAUGCAAUUGUUUUACAUUCCGCUGCUAUACUCUUAGAAUUGCAUGUGUAGGUUGAUUGCUUGACUUGUUCUAAGUUGCUAAAAUCUACCAAGAACUAAAAUUGGGAAAAGGCUAGAUUUUUAUUUGGUCAAGUAGUCUAAUCACCCCCCCUCUAGACAUACUUUCGAUCCUACAAGUGGUAUCAGAGCUUUGGUCUCCAUUUGCUUUGAUUUCCAUAGCUUUUGGUGGUCAUAGCCUUGGUUUCACAACCUAGGAGAGUAUGGCGUCUAGCGAGGGAAAUUACCACCGUAGAGGUCCUUACUUUGAUGGUACAAAUUUUGCUAGUUGGAAGCAUAAGAUGAAAAUGCAUAUUCUUGGACAUAACCCCGCUGUUUGGGCUAUUGUGUGUAUUGGCUUGCAAGGUGAAUUCUUUGAUGGGAGAGAACCAAACCGUGAAGCUACCGCGGAAGAAUUGAAGAUGUUACAAUACAAUGCUCAAGCUUGUGAUAUUCUCUUCAAUGGAUUGUGCCCCGAAGAAUUCAACAAAAUCAGCCGUCUUGAGAAUGCAAAGGAAAUUUGGGAUACUUUGAUUGAUAUGCACGAAGGUACCGACUCCGUCAAGGAAUCCAAAUUGGAUGUGCUUCAAAGUCAACUUGACAAGUUCAAAAUGAAGGAUGGUGAAGGUGUCGCUGAAAUGUACUCUAGGCUUGCUCUCAUCACAAAUGAGAUUGCCGGCUUAGGAAGUGAAGAGAUGACCGACAAAUUCAUCAUCAGGAAGAUCCUAAGAGCCUUGGAUGGAAAAUAUGUUGAUCCAAAUGAUGCCCAAUUACAAAGAUCUCAAGCCAACGGAAGUCAUUGGAAGAAUUGUUGCUCAUGAGAUGUCACUCAAGGAUAAGGAAGAGCUUCACAACAAGUCUAGUGGUGCUUACAAAGCCUCGUGUGAUGCUCCCACAUCAUCAAGUGAGAAACAAACCUUCAAUGAAGAAUUGAGCCUAAUGGUCAAGAACUUCAACAAGUUCUACAAGAGUAGAAGCAAAGAAAGAAGUUCCAAGUCAAGGUCCUACAAUGACAAAAGAUCUUCCAGUCGUGAGCGAAAUUGCUACAAUUGUGGAAGACCCGGACACUGCUCCAAUGAGUGUACGGCCCCCUACAAAAGAAGAGAAGAUUCUCCCAAAAGAAGAAGUAGAAGAUAAGAAUCACCACCAAGAGAAAGGAGGAGUAGAGAUGAUCGUUAUGAACGAAGACCCUCUCGAGAAGCAAGGAUUCGGAAAGGAAAGUAAAGUCAUCAAGGAGCUACACAAAAAGAAGACAUCAAGCUCAUGUUGGUGAAUGGGUAUCCGGCUCCGACUCCGACAAUCACUCCGAAAGAAGUUAUCACUGCGACUCCGAAUAUACUCAAGAUGAAGGUGUUGCCGGUCUAGCACUUGUGUCAACCAACUCCUACGACAUAUUUGACUCACCAAAUGAAGGAAUUGGAAGAUGCUUCAUGGACAAAGGUCCAAAGGUAACACAUCCCGAGUAUGUUGAUUUCAAUAGUGAUGAAGAUGACUUGCUAGGUGAUGAUGAUUUACUUGUUGACAACUCUAGUGAUGAAAACUAUGAUGAAACGUCAAUUAAUCAUGCUAAUCAAGAUAAAACAAAUGAUGAUGAUAAGAAGGAGAUUGAGCGUCUAACUAAAGAACUAAACACUCUUAAGUUAGCUCAUGAAACUACCUUGGAAAAUCAUCGAGAACUUUUAAAGACUCAUGAUAAGCUACGCUUUGAAAAGCUCAACCUUGAGCAAGAGCAUGAGUUUUUAAAGGCAAUCAAUGAUGAUCUUCGCAAGAAAAGUUCUUCUUACAUUGCCAAGAGUUUACUCUUGUCUACUUACAUGCCACAAGUUAAAUCUAGUAACAAGAACAAGAAAGAUGCUUCAUCUAGUAGUAACGACAAACAUGCUAAAUCCAAUGUUGUUGCUUCUAGUAGUUCUCUUGAUUCCACUAAUGAUUCUCUUAGCCAAGUUACACUUGAGCAAGAAAAUAGCUUAUUGAAGGGAAUUAUAGAGAAAGGUGUUUACAAGAGCCUUGCCGGAAUUUAGCAAUUUGAGGAAAUUGCACGCAAGCAAGGAAGACACCGGAAGAAUCAAGGUGUUGGUUUUGAACGAAAGUUCAAUGCUAAUGGAGUUGAGUGGGAAGAAGAUCAAUACCCCAAGACGAAGUUUGUUCCUCAACAAGAGAAGUAUGAUCCUACUUCCUUCAAGGGGACACAAGCUCAAGAUGAUCUUCCACCACAAGACCACAAGCAAAAAGGCAAGGACAAGCUUCAAGAGGAAAUUGAUGCAUUUGAAGAAGCACCUAAGGCCUUGGUCAAGUGGGUUCCCAAGACUACAUCAAGUACUACUUCAUCAAGUACAACUACAACUCCGAGGAUUCCCAUCAAGAUGGUGUGGAUCCAGAAGAAGAAGAACUAGAGAGUUCUUGAGGGUGACUCCGCCAACAUACUUCACUCUUAUCAUUUUGGCAAGGACAAGUGCAAACAACUUCCAUAUCUUGCACUAGUUCAAGGAGUCACAAACCCUCUUGUUGGUAAGACAAGGGACAAGGUAACCUAAUGCUUUCAUGGACAUCAUCUUGUGUAUGCAUCACUCUAUGUCUAUGGAUAUCCUUGUUUGUUCCUUGUGGGACUAACCCGUGUAGGUAUUGAAAGUGCAACUCACUCCAAAGGAUUGCUCCAAAUGAUCUAUAUCAACAUUGAGCAUCUACAUCUUCAACACCUACAUGAAGUCAUCAUCGACAAAACCCAAGGUUAGUUCAUCCCUCUUAAGGGGGGAUAUCACAUCUGGGGGGAGCUUUACUCUAAUCAAUUGAGUUAAAGCAACUCUAAUGGUGUGAACACAACAAUGCUUUAUGUAAAAGUGGUAACCCCACUUGUGCUUAAACGAUGAGUAUGACCUAUGAUCAAAUGUUCUCAUUUGACUCCUAUGUCAAUUUACUCAUAUAUAGAUGACCUAGUCAUCGCAAAAUUGCUUGGUAGAUGCUAGAGUGUUUGUGCAUGCUUUGUCACAUAUUUCAUUUGCCAUUUUAUUGUGUGAGCAUGUUGGUUGCAUAUUUUACUCAUUCGAGGACAUCCAUUUGUUGUUUUGAUUGUUAGGCUCUCUCUUUUGCCAAAUGGAUGGACAAGAAUGCCUAAGAACUCCCUCUAGCUAUCUAUGCUUUCCUCGUCUCAAACUCUAUUCAUGCUACAUCACAAAGUUUGAUCAAGUCAGAUUCGAACCACUCUGUGUGAGGAGCACUCGGAGUUCCCGAUUCGUCAUAGACUUAAACCUCUAAAACCUCUUUGUGCAUCUCGGUCUGACCGAUUCAUCCUUUUCGGUCCUACUAAGUCACUAAGUUGAUCUAGGGUUUUCAAUCUCGGUGCAACCGUUUAGAACUUUUCGGUCACACCGAGUUGCAGUAACUGCUUGCAGUUUUGCAUCUCGGUGCCACCGAGUCAUUCCACUCGGUCACACCGACAGGGUCAGGUUAUAUAUACCGCCGGGCCAAAUUUUGGAAAAAUUUCCGAACCCUCUCGCCCGUGCAUAACCUGCUCUGCCUCUUCGGGUCUCCGGAUCGUCCUCUCGCCACCAGCGACCUCCCGGCGCUGGUCUCCGCCGCCGUCAACGGAAAUCUUCACCGUCGUUGCCGCCGUAGCAAGUUCGUCGCCGAACUAGGGUACGAACUUGAUCAUUGUGCUAAUCCCUAACUCCGAUUCUUAGCACAUUACUUUGCCAUGAUUCUUGCCACGAUUGAAAUCAUCCUGUCCAGCAAAAACAUCCCGUAGAUUAGUCUUGAUUUGAAAAUUUAGGGUUAGGUCUCCGCCGAAUUCAUCUCGGACCGACCGAGUUGUAGAAAUCGGUCUCACCGAUUUUGGCUUAGGCCAAAGCACACGCGUUUUCGGUCUGACCGAAAACUGCAAAUCGGUGUGACCGAGUUAGAUUCUUUGUGAAACCCUAGCAGUCUCGGUACCACCGAACUGUGACUUGGUCUGACCGAGUUCACUAGUUUAGGUUCCAAAAGCUGCUUCGGUAUCACCAAGUUUACAAAUCGGUAGAUCCGAAAUGCUUUCUGUGAAGAACUAAAACUAAGUUUUUAAGUCAUCCUUUUUGCAAAACUCAUGUACUUUGUGAUGCUCAUCUACUCUACCUCAUCUAUAACCUAUUCACAGGGUCUGCUGUCAGAGUAUUUGCAGAGAUGUCUGACCAGAGUGAUAGUCAGAACAGGUCUGAGCAACAUGUGCACUUGAGUGAGGGUUCAGAUCCCUCUAGCAGCUAUGAUGAAGGCAGCAGGAGCACUCCAAGCAAUCUGCCAAAGGCUGCCACCAAGACAAGGAAAAAGAGGAAUUCUGACUCUGAGGAUGAAGAUUAUGUGGCUGUUGAAGAUGAAGCCACUUCAAAGAAGAAAGUGCUAAAGAAGGAGUAUGGCACAGCUGCUGCAACUAAGCCAGGUCUGAAAACAAAGAUGCCAGCAAAAAGACAACACUGUUGUGAUGAAUGAGAAUGAACCAUCUUCAGCUCAAGCACAUGAAAAGAGAGAGAAGGCUAAGGCAGAGAAGGCUGCAAAGAUGCCAACUAUGGAAGAGGCAUCUCAGGUAUUCUUGAAGAGCAAGCAAGACCAGCUUGGAUAUCUGAUCCAAUCCACCCCGAGGAUUGAGAAGGGCUUGGCCACCCUGACCAAGAACCAGGAGAGCUUGGAAAGGAUUAUUGAGCAGAAAUUCUAUGACCUUGAUGUCAAGGUAACAGAAAUCCAAACUGCAGUUGAGCAACUUCAGGAGGAAGCAGAGGAGAAGAAGGGCAAGUCUACCACAGAUGCUUUUGCCAGAGUGCCCAGAGGACAGAGAUCUGCUGCAGUGCCAGUGACAGACACUAGAGCCACAACAUCAACACCAGCAGCUAUAGCUCCAGUUCCACCUCCAGCAGCUACUCCACCAGCUCCCGCUACUUCAUCAGAAGCCCUCGUCCUUGGAGUUCUCUCAACACCACCUCCCGAAGAUCAAGCCUGAGAGUCGUUUAGCACUAUGCAUUUUCAAACUUUUUGGUAACUUGUUGCCAAAGGGGGAGAAAAAUGUAUAGAUCAUAGGCUUCGAGAGAGAGAGAGAGUGUUGGUUUUUAUCUCUCUUUGCACUUAUUUGGUUUGGUUUGAAACUUUAUUGUGUGCUUGUGAUGCUACUUUAUGUCCUUGUGAGAUACUUGUUGAUCAUGUGUUUGAUCAUAUGCUACCCUUAAUGCUUGUUGGAUCAUAUUAUCUUUAUAUCCUCUUAUGAUCAUUCACUUUGCUUGGUGAUGAGUGCAUGUGUUUUAAUUUCUAUCAUUUUGAGCGCUCCACCAAGAUGAAUGUGACAUGGAAGAGUAACCCAUGAUCCUAAUUGAUUGUGCAUUUGCAUUCAAAAGCAAAUUUUAAAUAAUGCACAAAUUUAGGGGGGAGCUCUUGCUUAUCACAUACUUCUCAAAGCGACGAUGUUUUUCAAUUUUAUCAUUUGUCGAAGCUUUGAUCUAUAUGUUGUCAUCAAUUACCAAAAAGGGGGAGAUUGAAAGUACAACUAUCCCUGGGUGGUUUUGGUAAUUCCUAACAACAUAUAGCUCAUUGAGCUAAUGCUAUUUCAAGAUAGAUAUUUCAGGAAAGCUCAAUGAUUGGCAUGGCAUGGAUUAGAAAGUGGACCCUUCAAAUUGCUAAGGACAAAAGAUUGGCUCAAGCUCAAAGCACAAGACCCUACAUUUUCUAUUUUAGUGAUCCAAGAUCACAUUGAGUCUAUAGGAAAAGCCAAUACUAUUAAGAAGGGAUGAGGUGUUGCUUAAUGAGGUGCUUGCUCAAAAUGCUUAGUGAUAUGCUCCAAAACCCUCCACUACUUUCUCAUAUCCACAUAUAUCCCAAACCAAAAGUCCAACUCAUCCCCACCGAUUCUUUCUAUCCGGCGCCACCGAGUUCAGUUGACAUAGCCACUGCCAGAAACCCUAGUCUUUUCGGUCUCACCGACAGGGAUCUCGAUCUCACCGAGAUGGGAUUGUAAUCUCUCUGUUUCCCUUCGUAACAUUUCGGUCCAACCGAGAUGAGCGACCGGUCCCACCGAGAUUGCAAUGCAAACACUCUGUUUCCCUUUCGUAACGUUUCGGUCCAACCGAGAUGAGCGAAUCGGUACCACCGAGUUUGCCUGACCAACUCUCUGUUUGACUAUUACCAAAAUCGGUCCCACCGAGUUUGUGUAAUCGGUCACACCGAGAUUACGUUAUGCCCUAACCCUAAUGAUAUCGGUCCCACCAAUUUGACAUGUCGGUCCCACCGAAACACCUAACGGUCACAUUAUGAACCAAAUCGGUCUGACCGAGUUCUCUGAAUCGGUCCCACCGAGUUUGGUGAUUUGUGUGUAACGGUUAGAUUUUGUGUGGAGGCUAUAUAUGCCCCUCCACCCACUCUUCAUUCGUGGAGAGAACCAUCAGAACAUGACUACACUUCCAAUGCAUAUUUUCUGAGAGAGAACCACCUACACUUGUGUUGAGGUCAAGAUAUUCCAUUCCAACCACAUAAAUCUUGAUCUCUAGCCUUCCCCAAGUUGCUUUCCACUCAAAUCUUUUUUCCACCAAAUCCAAUCCUAUGAGAGAGAGUUGAGUGUUGGGGAGACUAUAAUUUGAAGCACAAGAGCAAGGAGUUCAUCAUCAACACACCAUUUGUUACUUCUUGGAGAGUGGUGUCUCCUAGAUUGGCUAGAUGUCACUUGGGAGCCUCCGUCAAGAUUGUGGAGUUGAACCAAGGAGUUUGUAAGGGCAAGGAGAUCGCCUACUUCGUGAAGAUCUACCCUAGUGAGGCAAGUCCUUCGUGGGUGACGGCCAUGGUGGGAUAGACAAGGUUGCUUCUUCAUGGACCCUUCGUGGGUGGAGCCCUCCGUGGACUCGCGCAACCGUUACCCUUCGUGGGUUGAAGUCUCCAUCAACGUGGAUGUACGAUAGCACCACCUAUCGGAACCACGGAUAAAAAAUCUCCGUGUCAACAUUGCGUUUGCUCCCUCAGACUCCUCCCUUUACCUUCAUAUGCAAUUGUUUUACAUUCCGCUGCUAUACUCUUAGAAUUGCAUGUGUAGGUUGAUUGCUUGACUUGUUCUAAUUUGCUAAAAUCUGCCAAGAACUAAAAUUGGGAAAAGGCUAGAUUUUUAUUUGGUCAAGUAGUCUAAUCACCCCCCUCUAGACAUACUUUUGAUCCUACAACUUGGUUCUAGAUACCAUACUAAUCUUACUUUGCAAUUAUUAGUCAUUAGUAGGUAAAUAAAAGUGAUUAUUUCAAAAGUAUGUGAAAUUACCUGGUUUAAAAACUAGUAAAAUGAGUGUACAAUUCACUCAUCAACCUCCCCAAGCUUAAAUCUUCAUCAUGCUCGAGCAAGAAACAAGACCAUAAGGAAGUCAGUGCUAAAACCAAAAUAAUGAGAAGGUUUUAUGGUCGGUAUGCCUCGAUAGCCCAUCGGUUUCUUCACAUGAAAACUUAGCAUAGUUGUAACAGUGGCAACGGUUGCUAUGCAAGUUUGUUAGGCUAAGACGAAUGGAAAAAUGUAUUAACUUAGACAAUGUAGUUUUGCCUUUUUAAAAACAUUUAAUAGAAGGUUAGAUGUCUCGCAGUAUAAUUUUUGAACAGUGUAGGGAGGAUGACGUGAACUUCUUGCAAACAACCUUUUAGGCUUUUAAUUUUUAAUUCUUUUCUUUCUCAUGUGAAAUGCACCCCGUGUAGUAGUUGAACUGCUUGCUAUUUCACUUUGAACUUCUAUCACGUAUUUUUGUUCGUAAUUCCUCACCCGUUUUAUCAGAGUUGCACAAAUGAUAUACCAUUAGAAACUUGUUGAAAAGACGCAACUCUUUUCAUAGGGUUAAACUUUUCUUUUCGAACAACAUUCACCAAUUUAUUUUAACUGUUUGUUUUGGAAUAAGAAUGUUAUACAACCUUCGAAAGUUGUUGAAUAUGAGGAACUUUUUUCAUGUAGAACAUUUUUACUUCAAAAUUGUAAUGGAUUGAGAGAAUUUUUGUAUAACACCAAAAACAACUUUUCGUGUGUGUUUUUGAACAUGUAAAUACAUGGUGAACCUCUCUCUAAAGAAGGUUUGAACUUUCCCAUGCCGAGCACCUGAACUUCUAGCAACAAACUUUUUAUACUUUGCCUUCUUAUUCCUUUUUCCAUAUCAAAACACACACCAUGCAGUACGUGGACUUCUCAUUGUUUUCAAUUUGAACUGAUCUCUAAUUUGUUGCCGCUGACUCCUAAAGCACUCAUCAAAUUUGACCAACUGAUAAAAAUAGAAAACUAUUGGAAAGUGUUUUUUACAAAAUCAUGAUGGGUUACGAGCAUCUUUUUGAACACGCUAAAACUUCUUUUGAACGAUAUACAAGAAAGAUUCAAAUUAUAUUACGGGAAGAACGUGUAUGAUAUACCAUUGGGAAACUUAUGUCAUAGAAGUAAUUUUUUCAUGUAGACAACUUUUUCAAAUUCAUUGUCAUUUAUGGGUAGGUUUGAAAAUGCUAAAAAAAUGGCAUAGAUUUUUUAACUUGUAAAUUCUAGGUUUUUUUUUUAACUUUGAACUUCUUUGUUAUUUUAAUUUGAACUUCUCCUUUUUUUCUAACUCGCGGCAGUUUUAAGAGCUUUUUUUAAUAUGUUGAAAGUUAUUUAUUUUUUCAAACGAUAUAGACCAAAAUUUAAAACCAUUUAUCGGAAUAGAUCAUAUGAUUUUUUUUGUUGGAGGGAGUUUGAAUAGGUAGAAAGCCUGGCAUGUAGAGAGUUUUUAAUUUGAUUAUUUAGUAUACAUCGAACUAUUCCGUUUUUAAGUUGAACUUUUUGUUUUUAUUCUCUAUGAACAAGGAGAAUCUUACUUUUUUGAACAUUGAAUUGCUCUAUUUUUUACUUUGGACUUCUUGGUUUUUAUUCUUAAGUACGAUAAAAAAUCUGAGUUUUGUAAAUUUUGAACUUCUCCACUUUUUAAAGUUGAACUUCUUGGCUUUAUUCAUUAUUAACGAGGAAAAUCUGAGUUUUUUUAUAUAGAGUGAACUACUCUGUUUUUUAAAUUUGAACUUCCUGGUUUUAUUCUUUUGUAUUGAGGUAAAUCCCCUUUUUAUAAAAUUAAAAGUGCUCUGUUUUUUAAUAAAACAUACUUCUUAAAAUAGUUUUUUUAUAACUUCUAUACAAAUAUACCCAUACAUAACUCAUUACGUUGUCUUCCUUAUCCAACUUCAACUAAUUUACUCAAGUUUGAAAAUAAUUAAUGGGUUUGCACAAUCAUAAAAGAUGUCCCAGAUAAUAUAUUUAUAUGUGAAAGUUCUAUUCAUUAUACUAAUCAUUCAUGAAUUGCUUGUAUGGCCAACAUUGUGAUUGUCAAACUUCAAUAGAUUUUGCUUUCUAAACCCAAUGUGAAACUACUACUAGGCAUGAUACAAGCAUAUGAAGCACAUAUAAUUUCAAGUUUAUGAUAUUCAAUUCCUUCAACAAUUUACUCUUAUGAUAUAAGUGAAGAACGAGAGUAAAUGACAAACUACUCCAAAAAGAUAUAAGUGAAGAUCAAAUGAGUAGUCAAAUAAGGAAGUAGCUAUGUGAGGAUCUCUCUCAUUUAAAAUUUUCAGAUCUUAAGUAUUUUAUUCAAACAGCAAACAAAGCAAAAUAAAAUGACAUUCCAAGAAUAGCACAUAUCAUGUGAACAAGUAAAAACUUAGGCUCAACCAAAACUAACUGAUAGUUGUUGAUGAAGAAAGAUGGGAUGCCUACCGGGGCAUCCCCAAGCUUAGAUGCUUGAGACUUCUUGGAAUAUUAAAUUGGGAUGCCUUGGGCAUCCCCAAGCUUGAGCUCUUGUGUCUCCUUAAUUCCUCUCAUAUCACAGUUUCCCAAAAUCACAAAAACUUCAUCCACGCAAAAGUCAACAAGAACUCGUGAGAUAAGUUAGUAUAAAUCAAGGCAAAACCUUAUCAUUCUCUCCUGUAGAAAAUCACUAAAAUUAUAACUUGACAUUUGAUAACCCACAAGUAUAGGGGUCAAUUGUAGCCUCUUUCGAUAAGUAAGAGUGUUGAACCCAACGAGGAGCUAAAGGUAGAACAAAUAUUCCCUCAAGUUCUAUCGACCACCGAUACAACUCUAUGCACGCUUAACGUUCGCUUUACCUAGAACAAGUAUGAAACUAGAAGUACUUUGUAGGUGUUGUUGGAUAGGUUUGCAAGAUAAUAAAGAGCACGUAAAUAAAAACUAGGGGUUGUUUUAGGUAAAGAAGCAAUAAAUUUAGUAUAGCAAGUGUGGAAAAGUGGUGGUAGGAGUUGCGAAAUUGUCCCUAAGCAAUUGACUACUUUACUAGACCGAUAGCAAAUUUUAUGUGGGAGAGGCCACUGCUAGCAUGUCAUCCCUGACUUGGAAUUCUAUGCACUUACGAUUGGAACUAUUAGCAAGCAUCCACAACUACUAACGUUCAUUAAGGUAAAAAACAACCAUAGCAUUAAGAUAUAUUGGUCCCCCUUCAAUCCCGUAUGCAUCAAUUUCUAUGCUAGGUUCAAGCUUCUGUCACUCUUGCCCUCCAAUACAUAGUCCUAUCAACAUACAACUAACCCUAUGGUGUGAUCCAUGCGCGCGCUCAUAUGAUGGGCACCAAAGGACAGCAACAUAACCUCAAGCAAAUUAAACCAAUCAUAGCAAUUCACCAAUUACUGAUAGGAUAACGAAAAUCUACUCGGACAUCAUAGGAUGGCAACACAUCAUUGGAUAAUAAUAUGAAGCAUAAAGCACCAUGUUCAAGUAGAGGGUACAUCGGGUUGCGGGAGAGUGGACCAUUGUAGAUAGAUGGGGGAAGGUGAUGAAGAUGUUGGUGAAGAUGACGGAGGUGUUGGUGUAGAUUGCGAUGACGAUGAUGGCCCCGGCAGCGUUCCGGCACCACCGGAAGAGAGGGGGAGAGAGCCCCCUUCUUAUUCUUCCUUGACCUUCUCCCUAGAUGGGAGAAGGGUUUCCCCUCUAAUCCUUGGCUUGGGAGGGGCGAGAGCCCCUCCGAGAUUGGAUCUGUCUCUCUCUGUUUCUGCGUUCCCCGAUUCUGCCCUUUCACCGUUUCUUAAAUUCCCGGAGAUCCGUAACUCCGAUUGGGCUGAAAUUUGGACACGAUUUUUAUCCGGAUAUUGGAUUUCUUGCGGCGAAAGAAGGGUACCAACCGCCUUACGGAGUGGCCACGAGGGCCCAGGGCGCGCCCUACCCCCUGGGGCGCGCCCCUCACCCUUGUGGGCCCCUCGGGCAUCGCCUCGCGUUGAUUCCACUUCCCAAAAUUCACAUAUAUUCCAAAAAAAAUCUCCGUAAGUUUUUAUCCCGUUUGGACUCUGUUUGAUAUGGAUUUUCUGCGAAACAAAAAACAUGCAACAAACAAGAACUGGCACUGGGCACUGGAUCAAUAUGUUAGUCCCAAAAAUAGUAUAAAAAGUUGCCAAAAGUAUGUAAAAGUUGUAGAAUAUUGGCAUGGAACAAUCAAAAAUUAUAGAUACGACGGAGACGUAUCAGCAUCCCCAAGCUUAAUUCUUGCUCGUCCUCGAGUAGGUAAAUGAUAAAAAGGAUAAUUUUUGAUGUGGAAUGCUACCUAGCAUAAUCUUGAUCAUGUAAUCUAAUCAUGGCAUGAAUAUUAAGACACAAGUGAUUCAAAGCAAUAGUCUAUCAUUUGACAUAUUAAGACAAUAAUACUUCAAGCAUACCAAUAAAGCGAUCGUGUCUUUUCAAAAUAACAUGGCCAAAGAAAGUUUCCCUACAAAAUCAUAUAGUCUGGCUAUGCUCCAUCUUCACCACACAAAAUAUUCAAAUCAUGCACAACCCAAUGACAAGCCAAGCAAUUGUUUCAUACUUUUGAUGUUCUCAAACCUUUUCAACUUUCACGCAAUACAUGAGCGUGAGCCAUGGAUAUAGCACUAUAGGUGGAAUAGAAUAUGAUGGUGGAGGUUGUGUGGAGAAGACAAAUAGGAAAAAAGUCUCACAUCAACGCGGCUAAUCAAUGGGCUAUGGAGAUGCCCAUCAAUUAAUGUCAAUGCGAGGAGUAGGGAUUGCCAUGCAACAGAUGCACUAGAGCUAUAAAGUGUAUGUAAGCUCAAACUGAAAACUAAGUGGGUGUGCAUCCAACUUGCUUGCUCAUGAAGACCUAGGGCAUUUGAGGAAGCCCUGAUGUCUACUACGCAACCUUCUUCUUGUAGACGUUGUUGGGCCUCCAAGUGCAGAGGUUUGUAGGCCAGUAGCAAAUUUCCCUCAAGUGGAUGACCUAAGGUUUAUCAAUCCGUGGGAGGCGUAGGUUGAAAAUGGUCUCUCUCAAACAAACCUGCAACCAAAUAACAAAGAGUCUCUUGUGUCCCCAACACACCCAAUACAAUGGUAAAUUGUAUAGGUGCACUAGUUCGGCGGAGAGAUGGUGAUACAAGUGCAAUAUGGAUAGUAGAUAUAGGUUUUUGUAAUCUGAAAAUAUAAAAACAGCAAGGUAACAAGCGAUAAAAGUGAGCGUAAACGGUAUUGCAAUGCUAGGAAACAAGGCCUAGGGUUCAUACUUUCGCUAGUGCAAGUUCUCUCAACAAUAAUAACAUAAUUGGAUCAUAUAACUAUCCCUCAACAUGCAACAAAGAGUCACUCCAAAGUCACUAAUAGCAGAGAACAAACGAAGAGAUUAUUGUAGGGUACGAAACCACCUCAAAGUUAUUCUUUCGGAUCGAUCUAUCAUAGAGUUCAUACUAGAAUAACACCUUAAGACACAAAUCAACCAAAACCCUAAUGUCACCUAGAUACUCCAAUGUCACCUCAAGUAUCCGUGGGUAUGAUUAUACGAUAUGAAUCAAACAAUCUCAGAUUCAUCUAUUCAACCAACACAUAGAACUUCAAAGAGUGCCCCAAAGUUUCUACCGGAGAGUCAAGACGAAAACGUGUGCCAACCCCUAUGCAUAAGUUCACGAGCGGAACCCGCAAGUUGAUCACCAAAACAUACAUCAAGUGGAUCACGUGAUAUCCCAUUGUCACCACAGAUAAGCACAUGCAAGACAUACAUCAAGUGUUCUCAAAUCCUUAAAGACUCAAUCCGAUAAGAUAACUUCAAAGGGAAAACUCAAUCCAUUACAAGAGAGUAGAGGGGGAGAAACAUCAUAAGAUCCAACUAUAAUAGCAAAGCUCGCGAUACAUCAAGAUCGUACCACCUCAAGAACACAAGAGAGAGAGAGAGAGAGAUCAAACACAUAGCUACUGGUACAUACCCUCAGCCCCGAGGGUGAACUACUCCCUCCUCGUCAUGGAGAGCGCCGGGAUGAUGAAGAUGGCCACCGGUGAUGGAUCCCCCCCCCGGCAGGGUGCCGGAACAGGGUCCCGAUUGGUUUUUGGUGGCUACAAAGGCUUGCGGCGGCGGAACUCCCGAUCUAUUCUGUUCUCCGAUGUUUUUAGGGUAUAUGGAUAUAUAUAGGCGAAAGAAGUCGGUCAGGGGAGCCAUGAGGGGCCCACGAGGGUGGGGGUGCGCCUCCCUGCCUCGUGGCUUCCUCGAAGCUUCCCUGACGUCUACUCCAAGUCUCCUGGAUUGCUUCCGUUCCAAAAAUAACUCUCCCGAAGGUUUCAUUCCGUUUGGACUCCGUUUGAUAUUCCUUUUCUUCGUAACACUGACAUAGGCAAGAAAACAGCAAUUUGGGCUGGGCCUCCAGUUAAUAGGUUAGUCCCAAAAAAUAUUAUAAAAGUGUUUAGUAAAGCCCAUAAACAUCCAAAACAGAUAAUAUAAUAGCAUGAAUACUUCAUAAAUUAUAGAUACGUUGGAGACGUAUCAGCAUCCCCAAGCUUAAUUCAUGCUCGUCCUCGAGUAGGUAAAUAAUAAAAGAAAUAAUUUAUGAAGUGUGAAUGCUAGCAGGUGCACAAGUUUGACCAAUGAUAAUUUCAAUCACCUUUUCUAGCAUCAUCAUAUGUCAUAACAGUAGCUCAUCUCAUAAAAAUUUUCAUGAUCAAGUAACAAACUAUUCAGAUGUUAAAGUAUAGAUCAUAAACUUUCUUGAAAACUAACAAACUGUGUUAUUAGUCAUCAAACAAUUACAAUUCAUCUUAUUUUCAGGAAGAGUCUAUGUCAGAGCUUUGAUUCAGCAAACUUCACAUACUCAACUAUCAUUUAGUCUUUCAUAAUUGCUAACACUCACGCGAUAUUUAUGGGUUCAAAGUUUCAAUCAGACACAGAGAAAGAUAGGGGCUUAUAGAUUCGCCUCCCAACCUUUUACCUCAAGGGUAAUGUCAACAAUAAUAGUUCAUGAUGCCUUACAUCCAAUUGGAUAUAUAUAUCAGGAUCUUUUCAACACAAUGUGCUUGCCAAAGGAUAAAAUGUAAAAAGGAAAGGUGAAGAUCACCAUGACUCUUGCAUAAGGUAUAAAACAAGAAUAAAAGAUAGGCCCUUCGCAGAGGGAAGCAGAGGUUGUCAUGCGCUUUUAUAGUUGGAUGCACAAAAUCUUAAUGCGAAAGAACGUCACUUUAUAUUGCCACUUGUGAUAGGGACCUCUAUUAUGCAGUCCAUCGCUUUUAUUGCUUCCACAUCACAAGAUCGUAUAAAGCUUAUUUUCUCCACACUAAUAGAUCCUACAUAUUUAGAGAGCAAUUUUUAUUGCAUGCACCGAUGACAACUUACUUGAAAGAUAUUAAUCAAUCCAUAGGUAGGUAUGGUGGACUCUCAUGGCAAUACUGUUUUAAGGGAUGUUUGGAAGCACAAGUAGUAUCUCUACUUGGUGCAAAGAAUUUGGCUAGCAUGAGGGGGAAAGGCAAGCUCAACAUGUUGGAUGAUCCAUGACAAUAUACUUUAUUUUAGAUAUAAGAAAACAUAACCCAUUACGUUGUCUUCCUUGUCCAACAUCAACCUUUUAACAUGUCAUAUUUUAAUGAGUGCUAGAUGUCCAAGAUAGUAUAUUUAUAUGUGAAAUCUCUCUUCCUUCAAUAUUCUUUCAUGAAUUGUUCAAGUGACCAAUACAAUGUUUGCUAACCUUCAAUAAAUUUACCACAUCUACUUCUUAUAUGUGAAGUCAUUACUCCCCAUGGGAUACGUAUAUGAAACAUAUAUAAAUUUCAGAUUUAUGAUAUUCAAAUCAUUCAACUAUUUACUCAUAGGAUAUAAGUGAAGCACACGAGUAAAUGACAAACUACUCCAAAAAGAUAUAAGUGAAGAUCAAUGAGUAGUUAAAUAAUUAUUUAGCUAUGUGAAGAAUCUCCCAUUUAAUAAUUUCAGAUCUUGAUAUUUUAUUCAAACAUCAAGCAAAACAAAAUAAAAUUAAAUUCUAAGAAUAGCAAACAUCACGUGAAGAAGCAAAAACUUAGGAUCAACCGAUACUAACCGAUAGUUGUCGAAGAAGAAAGGUGGGAUGCCAACCGGGGCAUCCCCAAGCUUAGACGCUUGAGACUUCUUGAAAUAUUAUCUUGGGAUGCCUUGGGCAUCCCCAAGCUUGAGCUUUUGUGUCUCCUUAAUUCCUCUCAUAUCACGGUCUCCCUAAAUCUCAAAAGCUUCAUCCACACAAAACUCAACGAGGACUCGUGAGAUACGUUAGUAUAAACCAAUGCAAAAAACCUUAUCAUACUCUACUAUAGCAAAUCACUAAAAUUAUUAUUCAACAUUGCAUACUAAAUGCCUCUGCAUAUUUAAUAGUCCUAUCCUCAAAUAGAAUCAUUAAACAAGCAAACAUAUGCAAACAAUGCAAACAUAAUAGCAAUCUGCCUAAACAGGACAGUCUGUGAAGAAUGCAGCAAGAUCCAUACUUCCCUAGCUCCAAAAAUUAUGAAAGAAAAUUCCCACUGUAUUAAAUUUAUCAGAUAUUAUUAUGCAACAGGUUUCAGCAUUUUAUCACAUUCUGACUUUUCUAGGGAAUUUUUGCAACAGUGGUAAACUUUCUGUUUUCAAACAGCAACAUGUAGACUUGUAAAAUAGGCAUAGUAAAGGCCAUCAAUGCCACUUUUAUUGAAAUAAAAUAUGCAAGACAUUGUUCUAAAUAACAGCAAACAAAUACUAACAAAAUAAAUUGACGCUCCAAGCAAAACACAUAUCAUGUGGUGAAUAAAAAUAUAGCUCCAAGUAAAGUUACCGAUGAAUGAAGACGAAAGAGGGGAUGCCUUCCGGGGCAUCCCCAAGCUUAGGCUCUUGGUUGUCCUUAAAUAUUGCCUUGGGGUGCCUUGGGCAUACCCAAGCUUAGGCUCUUGCCACUCCUUAUUCCAUAGUCCAUCGAAUCUUUACCCAAAACUUGAAAACUUCACAACACAAAACUCAACAGAAAACUUGUAAGCUCCGUUAGUAUAAGAAAAUGAAUCACCACUUAGUUACUGUUGUGAACUCAUUAUAAAUUCAUAUUGGUGUAAUAUUUACUGUAUUCCAACUUCUCUAUGGUUCAUACCCUCCGUUACUACUCAUAGACUCAUCAAAAUAAGCAAACAACACACUGAAAACAGAAUCUGUCAAAAACAGAACAGUCUGUAGUAAUAUGUAUCAAACAUAUACUUCUGGAACUCCAAAAAUUCCAAAAUAAAUUGGUGGACCUGAGAAAUUUAUCUAUUAAUCAUAUGCAAAAAGAAUCAACCUAAAAUCACUCUCCAGUAAAAAGUGGCAGCUAAUCUCGUGAGCGCUAAAGUUUCUGUUUUUUACAGCAUGAUCAUAAAGACUUCACCCAAGUCUUCCCAAAGGUUCUACUUGGCACAAACACUAAUUAAAACAUAAAAACACAUCUAACCAGAGGCUAGAUAGAUUAUUUAUUGCUAAAUAGGAGCAAAAAUCAAGGAACAAAAAUAAAAUUGGGAUGCCUCGCAACAAGCGCUAACGUUUAACGCCCCUAGCUAGGCAUGAUGAUUUCAAUGAUGCUCACAUAAAAGAUAAGAAUUGAAACAUAAAGAGAGCAUCAUGAAGAAUAUGACUAGCACAUUUAAGUCUAACCCACUUCCUAUGCAUAGGGAUUUUGUGAGCAAAUAACUUAUGGGAACAAUAAUCAACUAGCAUAGGAAGGCAAAACAAGCAUAACUUCAAAACUUUAAGCACAUAGAGAGGAAACUUGAUAUUAUUGCAAUUCCUACAAGCAUAUAUUCCUUCCUCAUAAUAAUUUUCAGUAGCAUCAUGAAUGAAUUCAACAAUAUAACCAUGACAUAAAGCAUUCUUUUCAUGAUCUACAAGCAUAGAAAUUUUAUUACUCUUCACAUAAGCAAAAUUCUUCUCAUUCAGAAUAGUGGGAGUAUCAUAAGAAACUCGAAUACUAUAAAUUGUUUCCACAUUAAAAGAGUAAUGUUCAGAAAAUGGGUGAUCAUAAUCAUGACAAGUUUUAUAAACAUAAUCAUCACUACUCUUUAUAGCAUAAGUAUCAUCACAAUAAUCAUCAUAGGUAGCAACUUUGUUCUCAUCAUAAUUGAUUGAAACCUCUUCCAAGAUAGUGGAAUCAUUACUAAAUAAGGUCAUGACCUCUCCAAAUCCACUUUCAUAAUUAUAAUCAUCAUAUGUAGGAGGCAUUCUAUCAUAAUAAUAAAUUUGCUCAUCAAAACUUGGGAGGCUAAACAUAUCAUCUUCAUAAAACAUAGCAUCCCCAAGCUUGGGACUGACAUUAAUUUCAGCAAAUAUAUUCUCAAACUUGUCAUUCUCAUCAAACAUAGCAUCCCCAAGCUUGGGCCUUUUCAUAUCAUAAGCAUAAUCACUCUCAUCAUUAAUAGUAUGGAUAGCACCAAUAGUAUAGCAAUUAUCAUCAUCACAAUGAGUAAUAGGAGCAACAUCAUUUGGGAGGGAUACCUUUCUACCUUUGCUUCUCCGUCUUUUCUUUUUCUUCUUCACAUCAUGUGUGGGUUUAACCCUCUUUUUUGAGCUCCUUAUCAAUGAGAUUGGUUGAAUAGAAGGCUCCUCCUCGUUACCUGAUUCAUCAUAAGAAAUAAUAGGAGGAUAUUGGGAAGCCUCUUCCCUUUCGUUAGUAUUCUCUUCCUCUUCUAUUUGUUUUCUUGUCUUUAUGUAAUUGGCAAUAUAAGGAUUUUCAAUGCAAUUCACCGCACAAUACAUAAAAAUUUCUUCUAGAUCAAAAUCAAGAACUUUAUCAAGGACAUAUUCUGGAAGAUCCUUAGUACGUUUCAUUUCUUCAUAACCCAAAAGAAAACUAAGUUCAUUAUGAUAUGCAAGGGAAAUCAAGUCAUCGCAAUUCUUGGACACGAUUCGAUCAUGAAACAAUUUGCAUUGGAGACUUAAAUGACCACGUUCACUGCAAAGUUCACAAGUACGACUAAGAAAGUUUAAAUUUUCAGCACAAACAUCUAGCCUUUCUUGCAACCAUUUAGUUUCCAAAUACUUAUGCCUCUUGCAAAAUCUAUAUUCCCUAUUUGGUGUGUACUUGCAAACUCUAUGCGCUCCACAAAAAUUGACAUGCUUAUAAGAGAUGUUUUCAUCAUGACUAGUGCAAUCAUCAUUAGUACUAUGGAUAUUCAAAGAGUUCAUACUAACAACAUUGCAAUCAUGUUCAUCAUUAAGAGAUUUAGUGCCAAACAUUCUAAUGCAUUCUUCUUCUAGCAAUUGAGCACAAUUAUCGGAAUCCUUAUUUUCAUGAAAGAUAUUAAAAAGAUGAAGCAUAUGAGGCACCCUCAAUUCCAUUUUUUUGUAGUUUUCUUUUAUAGAAUAAACUAGUGAUAAAACAAGAAACAAAAAGAUUCGAUUGCAAGAUCUAAAGAUAUACCUUCAAGCACUCACCUCCCCGGCAACGGCGCCAGAAACUGCUUGAUGUCCACUAUGCAACCUUCUUCUUGUAGACGUUGUUGGGCCUCCAAGUGCAGAGGUUUGUAGGACAGUAGCAAAUUUCCCUCAAGUGGAUGACCUAAGGUUUAUCAAUCUGUGGGAGGCGUAGGUUGAAGAUGGUCUCUCUCAAACAACCCUGCAACCAAAUAACAAAGAGUUUCUUGUGUCCCCAACACACCCAAUACAAUGGUAAAUUGUAUAGGUGCACUAGUUCGGCGAAGAGAUGGUGAUACAAGUGCAAUAUGGAUAGUAGAUAUAGGUUUUUGUAAUCUGAAAAUAUAAAAACAGCAAGGUAACAAGCGAUAAAAGUGAGCGUAAACGGUAUUGCAAUGCUAGGGAACAAGGCCUAGGGUUCAUACUUUCACUAGUGCAAGUUCUCUCAACAAUAAUAACAUAAUCGGAUCAUAUAACUAUCCCUCAACAUGCAACAAAGAGUCACUCCAAAGUCACUAAUAGCGGAGAACAAACGAAGAGAUUAUUGUAGGGUACAAAACCACCUCAAAGUUAUUCUUUUGGAUCGAUCUAUCAUAUAGUUCGUACUAGAAUAACACCUUAAGACACAAAUUAACCAAAACCCUAAUGUCACCUAGAUACUCCAAUGUCACCUCAAGUAUCCGUGGGUAUGAUUAUAUGAUAUGCAUCAAACAAUCUCAGAUUCAUCUAUUCAACCAACACAUAGAACUUCAAAGAGUGCCCCAAAGUUUCUACCGGAGAGUCAAGACGAAAACGUGUGCCAACCCCUAUGCAUAAGUUCACGAGCAGAACCCGCAAGUUGAUCACCAAAACAUACAUCAAGUGGAUCACGUGAUAUCCCAUUGUCACCACAGAUAAGCACAUGCAAGACAUACAUCAAGUGUUCUCAAAUCCUUAAAGACUCAAUCCGAUAAGAUAACUUCAAAGGGAAAACUCAAUCCAUUACAAGAGAGUAGAGGGGGAGAAACAUCAUAAGAUCCAACUAUAAUAGCAAAGCUCGCGAUACAUCAAGAUCGUACCACCUCAAGAACACGAGAGAGAGAGAGAGAUCAAACACAUAGCUACUGGUACAUACCCUCAGCCCCGAGGGUGAACUACUCCCUCCUCAUCAUGGAGAGCGCCGGGAUGAUGAAGAUGGCCACCGGUGAUGGAUCCCCCCCGGCAGGGUGCCGGAACAGGGUCCCGAUUGGUUUUUGGUGGCUACAGAGGCUUGCGGCGGCGGAACUCCUGAUCUAUUCUGUUCUCCGAUGUUUUUAGGGUAUAUGGAUAUAUAUAGGCGAAAGAAGUCGGUCAGGGGAGCCACGAGGGUGGGGGCGCGCCCAGGGGGGUAGGGCGCGCCUCCCUGCCUCGUGGUUUCCUCGAAGCUUCCCUGACAUCUACUCCAAGUCUCCUGGAUUGCUUUCGUUCCAAAAAUAACUCUCCCGAAGGUUUCAUUCUGUUUGGACUCUGUUUGAUAUUCCUUUUCUUCGAAACACUGAAAUAGGCAAGAAAACAACAAUUUGGGCUGGGCCUCCGGUUAAUAGGUUAGUCCCAAAAAAUAAUAUAAAAGUGUUUAGUAAAGCCCAUAAACAUCCAAAACAGAUAAUAUAAUAGCAUGAAUACUUCAUAAAUUAAAGAUACGUUGGAGACGUAUCAAGCCCAUCGUUGGAAUAUACAAGCCAAGUUCUAUAAUGAAAAUUCCCACUAGUAUAUGAAAGUGAUAACGCAAGAGACUCUCUAUAUGAAGAACACGGUGCCACUCUAAAGCACAAGUGUGGUAAAAGGAUAGUAACAUUGUCCCUUCUCUCUUUUCUCUCAUUUUUUUCUCUUUUUUUGUAGGCUUCCUUGGCCUCUCUCUCUCUUUUUUUUGGCUUCUUUGGCCACUUUUAUUUUGAUAACCUCACAUGGGACAAUGUUCUAAUAAUGAUCAUCACACUUUUUAUUUACUUACAACUCAAUAUUACAACUCGGUACUAGAACAAAGAUAUGACUCUAUAUGAAUGCCUCCGGCGGUGUACCGGGAUGUGCAAUGAUCUAGCGUAGCAAUGAAAUAAAAAAAUGGACAAGCCAUGAAAACAUCAUGCUAGCUAUCUUACGAUCAUGCAAAGCAAUAUGACAAUAAAUGCUCAAGUCAUGUAGAUGAUGGAAGUUUGCAUGGCAAUAUAUCUCGGAAUGGCUAUGGAAAUGCCAUAAUAGGUAGGUAUGGUGGCUGUUUUGAGGAAGAUAUAAGGAGGCUUAUGUGUGAUAGAGCGUAUCGUAUCACGGGGUUUGGAACCGGCGAAGUUUGCACCAACUCUCGAGGUGAGAAAGGGCAAUGCACGGUACCGAAGAGGCUAGCAAUGAUGGAAGGGUGAGAGUGCGUAUAAUCCAUGGACUCAACAUUAGUCAUAAAGAACUCACAUACUUAUUGCAAAAAUCUAUUAGUCAUCGAAACAAAGUACUAUGCGCAUGCUCCUAGGGGGAUAGAUUGGUAGGAAAAGACCAUUGCUCGUCCCCAACCGCCACUCAUAAGGAAGACAAUCAAUAAAUACCUCAUGCUCCAACUUCGUUACAUAAUGGUUCACCAUUCGUGCAUGCUAUACAAUCCACAACUACCCACUAGUAUGACUCUAAUAUCAACCAUCUUUAUAUUGCAAAACUAUUGCAAGGAAUCAAACAUAUCAUAUUCAGUGAUCUACAAGUUUUAUGUAGGAUUUUAUGACUAACCAUGUGAAUGACCAGUUCCUGUCAACUCUCUAAAUAGAUAUAAGUCAAGCAAGAGAGUUUAAUUCUUUCUACAAAAGAUAUGCCCACGCUCUAACAAAUAUAAGUGAAGCAAAAGAGCAUUCUACAAAUGGCAGUUUUCUAUGUGUAGGGAAACAGGCAAUCCAAACUUCAAAUGAUAUAAGUGAAGCACAUGAAGCAUUCUAUAAAGCCAUACUCAAAAGAUAUAAGUGAAGUACAAUGAGCAUUAUAUAAAUCAACCAUGUACUAUCUCAUACCAGCAUGAUGCAUCAAAGAAAAGUGAAAACUAAAUGCAAAAGACGCUCCAAGAUUUGCACAUAUCACAUGAACGAAACAAAACCGAAAACAUACCGAUACUUGUUGAAGAAAGAUGGGGUGCCUUCCGGGGCAUCCCCAAGCUUAGACGCUUGAGUCUCCUUGAAUAUUUACUUUGGGUGCCUUGGGCAUCCCCAAUCUUGAGCUCUUGCCUCUCCUCCUUCUCCUCAUAUCGAGACCUCCUCGAUCUUUGAUCACUUCAUCCACACAAAACUCAACAGAAAGCUCGGUAAUAUCCGUUAGUAUAAUAAAGCAAAUCACUACUCUAAGUACCGUUGCAAGCCAAUUCAUAUUUUGUUUUUGCAUUGUAGCUACUGUAAUAUAACUUUUACAUGGCUUAAUCCACUGAUAGAAAUCGAUAGUUUCAUCAAAACAAGCAAACAAUGCAUCAAUCACAAAAUCUGUCUUAAACAGGACAGUCUGUAGUAAUCUGAACAUUCACCAUACUUCUGGUACUCCAAAUUUUUGAAAAAAUUAGGAAAAAUAAAAAAUUUGUAUAGAAAGACAGUGCAAAAAGUUUCAGAACCGUUUGACGUUCCAGUAAAAAAUGUAAAAUCGUGCACUACAGCCAAAGUUUCUGUUUUGCACCGCAUAAACCAAUAAGCAAUGUAAACGUCCUAAAGGCAAAUCUUGGCACAUUAUUUUUAUGACACAAUGGAUUUGUACAAGGGGAUAAUUAUUUUUGUUGAAAAUUUUCUGUAAUCAAGGGUCACAAAGUUUCCAUGGGCAUGAACAAAGUUCAAGGCUAGCUCCCACUUUAACAAUGCUCGUCUUUCUUACUUUCGCUUUUCUUUUUGAAAACAUUCUAGGUUCCCCUCUUUAUUUUUUUGUUUUUAAACUUUAUAAAAUCACACAACAGAAAUAAAUGACUCUCUAAAACUUCCGGGUUGUCUCCCUGGCAUCGCUUUCUUUAAAGCCAUUAAGCUAGGCAUAUAGUGCUCAAGUAAUGGAUCCACCCGGAUCCCAAGGUAUAUCAAAGCCAAUUUUAAUUAACAAUGAUUUGUGAUUUAGUAGUGAUCACAAAGUAACAUAUAUCAUGCAACAACGAAGUCUAACUCUCUUCUUAUGCAUCGGCAUGUCAUGAAAGAACAAUUCAUGCACACAUAGUAAAUGCCAAUGCAUAGUAUAAACAGUUUCUUGCAAUUUUAUCGUAUUGGAAACAUGGAGAGGCGGAGAUGUAGUUCCUCUCUUAUAAUAAUUGCAAGUAGGAGCAGCAAGCACAUGCAUAUUAUAUCUAUCAAAAUCAUCAUGUGUAGUAGUGAAACGCAACCGAUCAAUAUAAUCCUUAAUAAGGUCAAACUUCUCCGAUAUAGUGUAGUCGGGAGAAUUCAAAAAGAUAAUAGGACUAUCAUGCGUGGGUGCAAUAGCAACAAUUUCAUGUUUAACAUAAGGAACUAUAGCGAGUUCAUCUCCAUAAGCAUAAUUCAUAUUGGCAUCUUGGCCACAAGCAUAGCAAGCAUCAUCAAAAAGGGAUAUUCCAAAAGAAUCAACGGGAUCAUAACAAUCAUCAUAGCAUUCAUCCUUCGGUAAAUUCGAAGGGAAAUUAAAUAAUGUAUGGGUUAAAGAGUUACUCUCAUUAGAUGGUGGGAACGGGUGAUCAAUCCGCUCUUCCUCCUUUUGUUCUUUGCUCUCCUCCUCUUUUUUCAUCCAAUGAGCUCACAAUGUCAUUAAUUUCUUCUUCCAUAGACUCCUGCAAAAUAUUAGUCUCUUCUUGGACAGCGGGGGAGUCCUCAAUAUAUGGUUUAAUAUAAGGAUUAGAAGCAUAAUUAUCAUAGCAAUAUUUAAGUAUGGCCAAAUUUUCAGAUUUGUAGAGAGUAGUAUCACACUCUUCAAUAAAAGAAGCAAUUUCACAAGUACCCCCAAAAGCAACAAAUUCUUCAAUUUGUUGAACAUCAUAGUAAUUAUAAACACCCUUAGUAUACGAAGAUACGAUUCCAUAGCACUAAAAUCACAUUGGUAAGGAAGGUGUUUCUUAGGGUCUUUAGAACAGCAAGUACAAUCAUAUAUUUCACAUAAAUUCCAAGCAUAGCACUGCAAACGAUAAUUUGAUCCAGUAAAAGUUUCCCUUUUUCAGAUAUGCGGUGUCGCACAUAACAAGCAUGCUCAUCUAAAGAUUUGCCCUCAACUAAGCUAGUUGGGGUUUCAGCCCGAGCACAUAGGGAUCAAAGAUGAUCCAAGUAAAAAGCUUCAGUAGUAUGAUAGAUUUUGAGUGGUUCUUCAACCAUUGGUUCAGUAGGUACCACUAAUUUUUUUGGUAUUUUGCGUUUCCUACCCAUAAAUAAAGAUAGAAAACAAGAGCACAAAAUAGAAACUACUUAGUGAUAAAGCAAACAAGCACACACGAGAAUAUUCACCCCACGCUAUAACUCCCCGGCAACGGCGCCAGAAAAAGGUCUUGAUAACCCACAAGUAUAGGGGAUCAAUUGUAGCCUCUUUCGAUAAGUAAGAGUGUCAAACCCAACGAGGAGCUAAAGGUAGAACAAAUAUUCCCUCAAGUUCUAUCGACCACCGAUACAACUCUACACACGCUUAAUGUUCGCUUUACCUAGAACAAGUAUGAAACUAGAAGUACUUUGUAGGUGUUGGAUAGGUUUGCAAGAUAAUAAAGAGCACGUAAAUAAAAACUAGGGGCUGUUUUAGGUAAAGAAGCAAUAAAGUUAGUAUAGCAAGUGUGGAAAAGUGGUGGUAGGAGUUGCGAAAUUGUCCCUAAGCAAUUGACUACUUUACUAGACCGAUAGCAGGUUUUAUGUGGGAGAGGCCACUGCUAGCAUGUCAUCCCUGACUUGGAAUUCUAUGCACUUAUGAUUGGAACUAUUAGAAAGCAUCCGCAACUACUAACGUUCAUUAAGGUAAAACCCAACCAUAGCAUUAAGAUAUAUUGGUCCCCCUUCAAUCCCGUAUGCAUCAAUUUCUAUGCUACGUUGAAGCUUCUGUCAUUCUUGCCCUCCAAUACAUAGUCCUAUCAACAUACAACUAACCCUAUGGUGUGAUCCAUGCGCGCGCUCAUAUGAUGGGCACCAAAGGACAGCAACAUAACCAGAAGCAAAUUAAACCAAUCAUAGUAAUUCACCAAUUACCGAUAGGACAACGAAAAUCUACUCAGACAUCAUAGGAUGGCAACACAUCAUUGGGUAAUAAUAUGAAGCAUAAAGCACCAUGUUCAAGUAGAGGGUACAGCGGGUUGCGGGAGAGUGGACCGCUAUAGAUAGAUGGGGGAAGGUGAUGAAGAUGUUGGUGAAGAUGACGGAGGUGUUGGUGUAGAUUGCGAUGACGAUGAUGGCCCCCAGCGGUGUUCCGGAGCCACCGGAAGAGAGGGGGAGAGAGCCCCCCUUCUUCUUCUUCUUCCUUGACCUUCUCCCUAGAUGGGAGAAGGGUUUCCCCUCUGGUCCUUGGCUUCCAUGGCAUGGGAGGGGUGAGAGCCCCUCCGAGAUUGGAUCUGUCUCUCUAUCUCUCUCUGUUUCUGCGUUCCCUGAUUCUGCCCUUUCGCCGUUUCUUAAAUUCCUGGAGAUCCGUAGCUCCGAUUGGACUGAAAUUUGGACAUGAUUUUUAUCCGGAUAUUGGCUUUCUUGCGGCGAAAGAAGGGCACCAACCACCUUACGGAGUGGCCACGAGGGCCCAGGGCGCGCCCUACCCCCUGUGGCGCGCCCCUCACCCUCGUGGGCCCCUUGGGCAUCGUCUCGCGUUGAUUCCACUUCCUAAAAUUCACAUAUAUUCCAAAAAAAUCUCCGUAAGUUUUUAUCCCGUUUGGACUCCGUUUGAUAUGGAUUUUCUGCGAAACAAAAAACAUGCAACGAACAGGAACUGACACUGGGCACUGGAUCAAUAUGUUAGUCCCAAAAAUAGUAUAAAAAGUUGCCAAAAGUAUGUAAAAGUUGUAGAAUAUUGGCAUGGAACAAUAAAAAAUUAUAGAUAUGACGGAUACGUAUCAACAUUGCAUACUAAAUGCCUGUGCAUAUUUAAUACUCCUAUCCUCAAAUAGAAUCAUUAAACAAGCAAGCAUAUGCAAACAAUACAAAAAUCUGUCAAAACAGGACAGUUUUUAAAGGAUGCAAAAGGUUCAUUCUUCUUUAACUCCAAAAAAUCUGAAUUUUUCCCACAUUGUAGAAAAUUUAUCAUAGCUUACCGUGUAAAAUUUUCAAGAUUUUAUCACGUUCCGACUUUUCUGAAGAAUUCAUACAAUGAUAGAAAACUUUCUAUCAAACAACAACAUAUAAGCUUGCAAAAUAAGCAUGGUAAAGGCUAUACUUGACACUUUUAUUGAAAUAAAAGAUUCAAAACAUUAUUCUAAAUAACAAUAAGCAAAUCUUAACAAAAUAAAGUAACGCUCCAAGCAAAACUCAUAUCAUGUGACAAAUAAAAAUAUAGCUCCAGGUGAGGUUACCGAUAAUGUUGAAGACGAAAGAGGGGAUACCUUCUGGGGCAUCCCCAAGCUUGGAUGCUUGGGUCUUCCUUGAAUAUUACCUUGGGGUGCCUUGGGCAUCCCCAUGCUAGGGUCUUGCCACUCCUUAUUCUCCUCAUAUCGAUAUCUUACCCAAAAGUUGAAAAUGUCAAUCACACAAAACUUAACGGAACAUCGUGAGAUAGGUUAGUAUGAUAAAGAGAAAAUCUUUCACUUUGGUACUAUAAAACAAGACUGAAAGUUUUUCUCAAACAAAUGCCUAUUGUACCCUAAAAUUUCUACAAUUUAUAUUGACCAAUAUAAGCCAUAGAACUAUAAAACAAGCAAACUAUGCAUUGAAAACAGAAUCUGUCAAAAACAGAACAGUCUGUAAUGAUUUGAACAACAACCAUACUUAUGUAAAUUCUAAAAUUCUGAAAAAUUAGGAAAACUUAGAAAUUUGUAUGAAUCAUUUUUUAAAAAUUCAGAAUUUUAUCACACUCCAGAAAAUCUCAACAAUUCUGCUAGUGGACAUAAAAGUUUCUGUUUUUGCACAUAAUCAAGUCAACUAUCAUCCACACUAUCCCAAAGGUUUUACUUGGUACUUUAUUGAAAUAAAAGCUAUAAAAUAUGAUUACUGCAAUAGCUUAAUCAUGUGAACACACAAAAAUAGUAGGGGUAAAUGUUGGGUUGUCUCCCAACAAGCACUUUUCUGUAAUGCGUUUUUAGCUAGGCAUGAUGAUUUCAAUGAUGCUCACAUAAAAGAUAAGAAACAUAAAUAGAACAUCAUGAAUCACAUGGAAAGCACACUUAAGCCUAACCCACUUCCUAUGCGUAGGGAUUUUGUGAUCAAACAAUUUAUGGGAGCAAGAAUCAACUAGCAUAGGAAAGCAAAACAAUCAAUACUUCAAAAUUUUCAACACAAAGAGAAGAAACUUGAUAUUAUUGCAAUACCUACAAGCAUAUGUUCCUCUCUCAUAAUAAUUUUAAGUAGCAUCAUGAAUGAAUUCAACAAUAUAAAUAUCACAUAAAGCAUUCUUUUCAUAAUUCACAUGCAUAAAAUUUUUAUUACUCUCCACAUAAGCAAAUUUCUUCUCCUCAAUAGUAGUGGGAGCAAAUUAAAUGAAAUAACUAUCAUAUGAUACUUGAUUUACAUUAUCAAAUUGAGCAUUAAAAUCAUGAUGAAAAGUUUCAUGGUUAUAAUUAUUCUUUAUAGCAUACAUGUCAUCACAAUAAUCAUCAUAGAUAGCAACUUUGUUGUCAUAAUCAAUUGAAACCUCUUCCGAAGUAGUGGAUUCAUCACUAAAUAAAGUCAUGACUUCGCCAAAUCCACUUUCAUAAUUAUUGCAAUAAGAUUCAACACCCUCCAAAAUAGUGGGAUCGUUACUACCUAGAGUUGACACUCUUCCAAACCCACUUUCAUCAUUGUAAUCAUCAUAAAAUAGAAGGCAUGCUACCAUCAUAAUGAAUUUGCUCAUCAAAACUUGGGGGACUAAAAAUAUCAUCUUCAUCAAACAUACCACCCCCAAGCUUAUGGCUUUGCAUAUCAUUAGCAUCAUGGGUAUUCAAAGGAUUCAUACUAACAACAUUGCAAUCAUGCUCAUCAUUCAAAGAUUUUAUGCCAAACAUUUUAUUGAAUUCUUCUUCUAACACUUUGGCACAAUUUUCCUUUCCAUCAUUUUCAUGAAGACAUUAUAAAGAUGAAGCAAAUGAGGAAACCUAAAUUCCAUAUUUUUUUGUAGUUUUCUUUUAUAAACCAAACUAGUGAUAAGUCAAGAAACUAAAAGAUUCAAUUGCAAAAUCUAAAGAUAUACCUUCAAGCACUCACCUCCCCGACAACGGCGCCAGAAAAGAGCUUCAUGUCUACUACACAACUUAUUCUUGUAGACUCGUGUUGGGCCUCCAAGCGCAGAGUUUUGUAGGACAGUAGCAAUUUUCCCUCAAGUGGUUGACCUAAGGUUUAUCAAUCUGUGGGAGGCGUAGGAUAAAGAAGGUCUCUCUCAAACAACGCUGUAGUUAAAUACAAGAAAUCUCUUGUGUCGCCAACACACCCAAUACAAUGGAAAAUUAUAUGGGUGCACUAGUUCGGCGAAGAGAUGGUGAUACAAGUGUAGGAUGGAUAGUAGAUAUAUGUUUUUGUAAUCUGAAAAUAUAAAAACAGCAAGGUAGCAAGUGAUAAAACGAAGCACAAAUUGUAUGGCAAUGCUUAGAAACAAGGCCUAGGGUUCCUACUUUCACUAGUGCAAUCUCUCAACAGUGCUAACAUAAUUGAAUCAUAUAACAAUCCAUCAACGUGCGACAAAGAGUCACUCCAAAGUUCUUAUCAAGCGGAGAACAUAAGAUGAAAUUAUUGUAGGGUACGUAACCACCUCAAAGUUAUACUUUCCGAUCAAUCUAUUGAGCUAUUCUUAUAAGUGUCAAAAACAACCCUAGAGUUCGUACUAAAAUAACACCAUAUGAUACGCAUCAACCAACUCUAAUGUCACCUAGAUACUCCAGUGUCACCACAAUAUCCAUAAGUUGAUUAUACGAUGUGCAUCAAAUAACUUCAGAUUCAUAAUAUUCAAUCCAACACCAAGAACUUCAAAGAGUGCCCCAAGAUUUCUACCGGAGAAAGUAGGAUGAAAGUGUGCAUCAACCCCUAUGCAUAGAUUAGCCCAAUGUCACCUCCGGAAUCCGCGAGUUGAGUGCCAUAACAUACAUCAAGUGAAUCAAUAUAAUACCUCAUUGUCACCACGGGUAUUCAUAUGCAAGAGAUGCAUCAAGUGUUCUCGGAUCCAUAAAAGUAUUCAAUCCGAUAAUAGUGAAACCUCAAAGGUAAAACUCAAUUCAUCACAACAAGAUAGAGAGGGAGAAACACCAUAUGAUCAAACUAUAUUAACAAAGCUCGUGGUACAUCAAGAUCGUGCCAAAUCAAGAACACGAGAGAGAGAGAGAGAGGGAGAGAGAGAUCAAACACAUGGCUACUGGUACAUACCCUCAGCCCCGAGGGUGAGCUACUCCCUCCUCGUCAUGGUGGCGGCCGAGAUGAUGAAGAUGGGCUUCGGUGAUGAUUUCCCCCUCCGGCAGGGUGCCGAUUGAGUUUUCGUGGGUACAGAGGGUUGCGGCAGCGGAACUUCUCAUCUAGGGUUCUUUCCGAGUGUUUGGGUAUUUAUAGCAAUUUUUGGCGUCGGUUUCAUGUCAAGGGGGCCUGCGAGGGAGCGACAAGCUCGGGGGGCGCACCCCCAGGCUUGUCGUGCCGUUAUGGAUCUUCUGGCCUAGCUCCGAUGCUCUGUGGGUCUCUUCUAGUCCAUAAAAUAUCACCGUAAAUUUUCAGCCAAUUUCGAGAACUUUUAUUUCUGCACAAAAAACAACACCACGGUAGUUCUGCUGAAAACAGCAUCAGUCCGGGUUAGUUCCAUUAAAAUCAUACCAAAACCAUAUAAAAUUGUUGUAAACAUGGCAUGAAUACUCCAUAAAAUUAUAGAUACGUUGGAGACAUAUAUUGGACACUGAAACCGAGGCCAAAACCUGUAAAGGAUACGGUUAGCUUCCUCGGAUGACAUUGAUCCGCUGGUCGGCUUCUUCUAUCCGACCAGGGUCUCAGGGACUACCGUAUAUUCAUUUCCAUACAGGUUCAGUUUCUUUAAGACCCCAAGUAAGAUCUUGUUAUCUAACUCAGGGCUCGGGGCUACUAUGGUUACACGCCCAUGGUGCACGUCCGCAGUGACAUAAGUCCUCGGACAAUUUCAUCCGCUAAAGGUCUACUAGAUAUAUCUAGUGGUAAUAGCUUUUUGCGUUGAUGUAAAUUUUGAAAAAUAAUCGAAGGUUACCUCAAAGCCUUGAUAGAGGCCCUUGAAGGCCUCCCUUAUACCGGCCUCUGUGGACCGGUAACUUUGCAGCGUCGUGCCUAGAAGGACGCGGUGCUCGACAACGAUGGAGGAUCCUGUCAUGGAUGCCUCCAUCUCUUCCGUCCACCCUGCAGACGUCUGCUCUUCCGUAGGCCGGGAUGGAUGGGCCACCUCGGUUCUCCCCAUCAUAGGAGGAGCGGCCGCCGUGGUAGGCCGUCGGGGUGGCUUCGGGUCGAUGGGGGCCGAAGUUGUCGUCUGCCCCAGUGUCCUACUCCGUAGAGAUGGGGUUCUUCCCCAGCGGGGUCCUCGGAGGCCUCCGCCUCGGCCAUGGAGACAUCGGCGCUGCCCCCCCAUGGUAGGCAAUGGCGGGGCUUGCUAAGAGGUCGCCUUCCCUAGCCCAUCAUGGGAAAGAGGGGAGGGGUGAUGCUCCUCCGAUGCGCUGGGUGGAGGGAGCCCACUCGACGACGAUUUGGCGCUGAUGUGGGAGCGUUGUGGGCUGCGAAAAGACGAAUAAUCAAAUAAAUUUAGAGAAAUAAGGAACCAGCGUGCAUACGACACAUACAAGAUUAAGGUGUACCUCCUUGGCAGCGUCCUCAGCCGGCGUGGCUCGAUGAGGUCGUCCUCCGUUUUGAAGGAGAUGAUCUCGGCCACAGCAGGGUCCUUGCGGGGUGCGGCGUCGACGGACUUCACAAGGCGACGAUGGUUCGGGCGGUGUUGGCCUCCGCGGCGUCUUUAGACGCCACCCUCUUUCUCUGCAGGGAAGAAGAGCCCUCCUCCCCUUCUUCUUUCUCUCUCUCUUUCCUCCUCGUCGGAUGUUCUCGGACUUAGCGUCUAAGGGGUCUCGGAUCCGAAGACCCUCCGUUUUCUUCUCCGGCUCCAUAGCCUUGGCCGAAGCCUUUGGGGCGCCACAGCCAAAAGGGCAUGUAGCUCGGGGGUCUUGUUGUCUUUGGGUAGCGACACAACGCAUUUGAUGAGUGCCGCCCUGGACGCCCACUUUUGAAAAUGGAGGGGGAAGACUUAGAAAAAUGCGGAAUAUGGAGUUAUUAUUUAACAUACGAAAUGAUGGUUACCUCAGAGGGGCCACAUGUGGCGCUAUAGCCGCUGUCUGUCCCAUCUUCAGGGAAUUUGUUUUGGGACGGCUUGAAGAGAGCUGUCCCACAUCCCAUCUAUGUUGGUGUGGAAGAAGUUCCGCAGUGUUGCUAGGUCCUUGGGCUUGUAGAGCCACAUAGGGCUAGCCCGGAGCUGGAGUGAGAGGAUGUAUCGCCGCAGCAUCACAUCCACCACGUCUACUAGCUUGAAUCUCUUCUUGAGGCCUCUGAUCCUCUCUUGAAGAGCAGUGACCUCGUCUGGGUUGCCCCAUUCUAGGCCCUGCUUCUGCCAGGACAUCAACUUCCUCGGCGGUGUACCCUUGAAGGCAGGGACCAUGGCCUGGCCUGGGAUGAGCGGUUCAGUGAUGUAGAACCACUUGCGCUGCCAGAUCUCCGCGGUCUCGAUGAACAUGCCCUCCAGCCAGUCUGGCUUUUGGAGCUUGUUGAUCAUGGCACCGCUACAUUCGGCGAACUCCGCGCCGCUGCUCUUCGGCUUAACGCAAAAGGUCUUCAGCCAUAGGCCGAAGUGUGGCUCUACGCGUAGGAAUGCCUCACACACUAUGAUAAAAGUGGUGAGGUGCAUGAUGGAAUUUGGGGCUAGAUUGUGGAAAUCUAGCCUGUAGAAGAACAAGACCCCCCCCCCCCGCAUAAAGGGGUGUAGGGGGAAUCCCAGACCUGGAUGAGGGUGGGAUGAAGAUGACCUGCUCCCCAGGGCUGGGAGUGGGGACACGUUUGCCGGGCUCUGGGCCCUACGGCAGGAGUCGGCAGGGAUGUAUCCCGCCACGUGGAGCCCGACGAUGGUGGCGUCAGUAACCUUGGAGGCCACCCACCUUCCCUUCAGAUCUACAUCGGCCAUUGGCGCGGGAAGCGGAGAACUGGGGAAAGUGUUAAGCUUGGAAAGGGGAUUGGGGGUGUGGAAACUUGGAGAAUUUGAGUGCCGGAGUAGAAGGAGAGUGUGGGAGUAUGGAUUUGCCCCUCCUGCUCUUUAUAAGUCAGUAAAAGGCGAAGCGUCCCCUCCGUUGCGCCGCAAAAAUUGCCAUGUUUCGGAUGUCCAUGCCAUUAUGGCCACUUUGGGUGAAAUAAUUGAUUGAUGAUAUCCCCUAAAACGCGGGGCACAUCUGUGUUUGGGCGCGACAUGCCAAUGAGAGGGUUGCCUCGAAUCGUGAUUCAAAUAAGUAAUAACUGAUGCAUAUUGUGUCACGGGUGGUGACGCUUUGCAAAAAUUUGUCAGUAAUUGACUGCUGAACACACCUAUGCUUCCAGUCUUCAAGACUACGCAUGCCACACACUUUAAAUAAGUGAAGAUGCGUUUUGGGUAGUGCGUGGUCGGUUGAUCUUAUCCCUUGUCAGAAGGGCGGUAUGAUACGAUUGGGGAUCUACAAGCUUUGUGCAGAUGCUUGGCCUGGGGCAGGACCUUCCUACUAAGCCGUAGAUCAUCCAGCCAAAGACAUUAUCCAAAAAAGAUUAUCAUCCUCGGCUUCGAAGACAAGUUCGGGGGCUACUGACAGUCCUGGACUAGGGGGACCUAGCCUAGCUGGCCUAGUCCAUGGGCCGAGCUGACAACUCGUUAAUGAGGAAGGACUCCGGAGGCCUCUAACCAGUGCAUAUCGAGCUUUACCGAGGACUUGGCGUGUACUCCAAGAAGAUCUAGUAGAUUUGGCAUGUAAUCCUUAGAUGGCAACCGACCAUGCAUAACCCUAGAUACCCCUGGUGCCUAUAUAAACCAAAGGGUUUAGUCCGUAGAGGAUACUUGAUUCAUUCAUCAUCAUACCCCUAGGGUUUACACCACAACUCACGAUCUCGAGGUAGAUCAACUCUGUACUUUUAUGCACUCAUAAUAUAAGCAAGAGCAGGACGUAGAGUUUUACCUCCUUAAAGAGGGCCCGAACCUGGGUAAAAACACCGUGUCCUCUAUCUCUUGUUACCCAUCAAUCCGAUCUCACAGCUCAGGCCCCCCUACCCGAGGUCUGCCGGUUUUGACAUCGACACAUACCUUGGCCUUGCCGGCGUACCCAACAGUUCCCAUAUGAUGUGGGUACUUGUUCAAUUUGGCAAUUUCGCUGUGUUUCUGACUUUUUCUUUAAAUUUCGGCGUGGUCUUUGCCACACAAACUCAUCCCACACACAUGGCUGAAUUUGAAAAUAACAUUGUAAGGGAGCUGCAUUCUGGCAAACGAACUUCGUCGUCAAGGUGGACUUCCAUCCAGGGAAAUAUUCCUAGUGGUAAGAAGAGUUGCUCACCUAACAUCCUUCACGUGUUCCAUAUCUACAAGGAGGUACAUCAUGAUCUCGUUGACGAUCGGUUGCCAAUGAUUAUCCGAUACUAAUUUCCAUUUCUCAACGUGCAUUGUACUCGAUCACGAACCAUAAUCCCAACAACCUUUUGAACUUAUUUAUAGCAAUAUCCGAUGACAGUGGAGUGCCCAUUGUUGAAUUGACAUCGGUAAUCCUAAAUAUGGAUUCCGGCCUUUGGGCAACUCCUCUACACCCGAUCACCGUUUUUUCUCGCAUUUGUCUGCAUGAAAUUGGAUAUGGGAAAGCAGAAAAGGAAAAAAUACAAACCCCUCACUGUCUGAACUUGCUGGGGUGGAGAGUCAUGGUGGUGACAGUGGAUAUGGUAGCGUAGAUGCUGUUGGCAUUGACUGUGGCGGUGGAUGAGGGCAGAAGGAGUCAGCAGCGAUGGAGUUGACAGAGAUGCAGAAGGAGCCAACAUCUUUCUUUUCCUUUUUAGUUUUUCUUCAGCAAAUUUUUAAUUUUCUUUUGGAUUUUUUCACCUUCUGUUUUUUCUUUUAUUGUUUUACUUUUUUUAAAUUUAGAAACAAUUUUUGAAUGCAUUUUUUUAGUUCAUAAUUUUUUUGAAUUCAUGAUUUUUUUAAUUUAUGAAUAUUUUCAAAUUAAUUAACAUGUUUAAAUUCACAAAUAUUUGGCUUGUUCGCAAAUGCACCACACGGGGCGGGCCAUAAAAAAGAAACAUCAGAUUUGUUUUUAGGCAAAAAAGAAACAUCAGAUGCAAUAGCACCAUCUAUCAAUGUGGGUUGCUAAAAAAAAUCUAAUCAAUGUGGGUGGGCCGCAACAAUUGGCCCGUUUCGCAACGAGGCCGCGCGUUGUCGGUCCGGUCCGGGUCCGGUCCAGACAAGAACCAGGUGUCCACCCUUCCCGGCGACAACAACGCGCCGCACACCGCACUCCCUGUUCCGCGCCACCGCCGUCCAUCCCCCGCCGCCUCUCAAGCUGACUCCAAACACCACGCCAGCGACAUGCCGCCCAAAGGUUGGUACUUUUCCUCUUCUCCACUAGGCACUCCUCCCCCCCACUUCCGCACGAACGACCAACUUGUCGCGCUACGGCUGACCUCGACGCGAUUGAUUGGCUGCAGAGCUGCCCGGGUUCUACUACGACCCGGACAAGAACCGCUACUUCCCCACCAAGGGCCGCAUCCCCGGCGCCGCCACCCGCCCUCCUCGCCCUCCGCCGCCGCCGGCCGAGCCCUCGCCUCCUCCCACAGCACGCAGGAAAAGGGCGAGGCAGUCCGAGCUGCUGCAUGCCAGGGAGAUGUACGGCGGUGGUGUGAUAUUCUCCAAGAACAACAAGUCCACCUUCAAGCAGCAGUGCCAGUACACACAGGCGUCGCAGCCGAUGGUGCUGAUCCGAGCUUCUCUUUUGCUGCAGCUUUCCCUUUCGUUUCUAGCAAUAUAUGCUGAUACCAUAGCGCUGCUUGGUAGGUUUGGAAGUACCAAGGCACAACCUUAGUGGCUGAUAAGGCACUGGAGGAACUGCACGCCAUGGUUCAGACACCGAGUGGACUGCGUGAGUCCAAGCUAUUAGCGACCGGCAGCACGAAUGGUUCAAUCAGGUGAGGUUUGCUACAGUACUCAGUUUCUGUCCGUGUAGUGAAAGGCUUUAGAACUUGACAAUUGAUUGUCGGGAGUAUAGAUGUACCAUCAGCUGAGGUUAUCCUGAAUUCUUGAUACCAUACCGCCAGUGUGCUCACUGCUCAAACAUACUCCAACGGCUAACAAGCUAUGCAAUAAUGGAUUUUGAAAACGAAAUUACUAAAACACAAAUACAACAAUUUCUCUUUUCUUGAAGACAGAACGUGCAUGGCUUUAUAUAAGUUUAAAAAAUUGUUGGAUUCUUUGAUAUUCAGUUGUUCUCUUUGAGUAUAAGCAUGACCAUACUGGUGUUUCAUGUCGCAUGACAUAUUUUUAUCUGGCAGAUUAUUUGGGUUAGGAACUGCUCUAGAGAAUUUUGAGGAUGGGAUGGAGUUUUUACCUCAGCCUGUUUGGACUCCCUUGGGAAAGCAGAUAGCAGCAGUGAAUUCUCCACUUGCAAAUAUCUGGUCAUCUGAAACAGCGUUCUCAAACUUCUCAUCCAGUAUAUUUUGCAUAAAAAAGUUCGGGCGCAACUUCCAUGAUGCAGCCAGCACCAACUCAUCAGUUCAGCAAGCAUUGUAUCCUCAAAAUGGUUGCUUCUAUUAUGCAUAUUACUGUUGUCAUAAUUACAUGUGUUUCGACUUGUGCAUUUUAUGUUCUGUACUAUUGCCUGGUAAUUGAACAUGAGCUUGGGUUACUUGACAUCAUAAACAUGGUGGCUACUCUUGGAUCUGGAGGAUCUGGUGGUUCUGUUUAUAUUAUGGAUAUGUCAACUAUUGACUCUGCAACGGUUUCACGGAAUGCCCAUGAAAGAAUUGAAAGAGUUGCUUCAUUUGAUCGUACAGUAUGGACUGCUGAUUGUAAUUCUGAUGGCACACAAGUAGUUUUAGGUGAGUUGGCUGGCUGGACUUCAGUUUAGGCCAUGCCCAAAGUUCCCCUGUUACACAGAGUAACGGAUUUGUUUUUUUAAUAAUCCUUUCAGCAGUACUUACUAUGGAUCAGAGGUAGUAGUAAUAACACUAUGAAGUUUGCUGCAUUCAGAAUCUUUGAUAAUCUUUUUAAUGUAUUGAUAUGGCAAGAUCAUUCUAUAAGAAUUUAUACAUAGAAACUGACUACAAUUACACAGAAAGAUUAGCUUGCUAUUAUGAGUAUGUAUAAUUGCUCCCACCAUAACUUUGUUAUACGUGUUCAUUGAAUUUUGAAGUCAUUUGUUCAUUAGGUGGAGGUAUUGUAGUAACUUGUUGUCACAACUUAGCUUUUUUAGAACUGUAGCAGCUUUGCAAGUUGUCUAUUUUAUACAAGGAAAGUGCAAGGUCCUUUUUUCUUGGAAUUAUGGGAGUAGGCAGUGGAGGAACUUCUUCUGUAUCAAUUAAGCUUGUGGAUUAUUAAGCAUUUUUGCUCAUAUUAUUUCUAGGUACAAACACUGGCGCUGGUUUGCUUAAUUUGGAGACAGGGACGUUAUCAUGGCUGUAUCGUUGUAAAAGUGACAUUCUUUCCCAGCAAUUUGUGCACUCGGUAACAAAUUAUUUUAAAUGUGUACAUUUCAACUUAGUAGGUUUCAUAUAUCCAAUGGUCUGUUAGGUGUGUUGUUAGGAGCUAGGGUUCUGCCGGUUCUAGGGCGGAGAUUGUAGGGGAAGGACGGAGGAGGACGAGGACGAGGGCACGGCGGCCGGCGGCUGGGCGCCGUCCUUGCUUGGUGGAGAAGAGGCGGCGGCGGCGCAAGAGGCAGCUAGGGUUAGGUCUCCCGGCUCCCUAAGGGAAGCCGAGCAAAUAAUGAUUGCUUCUUGCUUGAUUAGAUUGAUACAUCUCCUCUCCUUAUAUAGAGAGGUUUACUUGACUCCUAAGCAAACGAUCCUAAUAAUGAUAAGAUAAUUGGGCUAAGCCCCUAAUAACGAUAAGAUAACUUGGGCCACAACCCACUGGGCUAAGCCCCUAAUAUGCCGGUCAUAACACUUCUCCUUGCCUGCACAAACAGCUCGCCCUCGAGCUGUAAGGUGGGGAAAAGCUGGCUGAACUCCUCGAGGUGAUCAACCAGCGUCAAACACCUUCGCGACAGCUGGGGCGGCCAGGUCGGCGGCGACGGCGUCCUCCUCAAUGUAGUCUGCAGCCUCCAGGUAGAAGAGUCGCGGGCAGACGUGGCCGGGCGUGUAGGGCUCGUCGCAGUUGAAGCACAACCCUUGGCGGUGAUGCUCGAGUAGCUCGGCCGAGGUGAGCCGGCGGAAGCCUGAGCAGGCCGACCCUGCGCGGGAACAUCCGGCCAGGGUAGCGGCCCAGCGGCCCAGGACGGUGAUGCCUGCUGGAUGGCCACCGCGCGGCGCUCAAACGCGCGGGCGUAGUACAUGGCCGUCUGGAGAUCCCGGGGUCCCCGAAGCUCCACGUCCACGCGGAUGUGAUCCGGAAGUCCAUCGACGAAGUGGUCGGCCCGCUGCUGCGCCGUUACGCCCGACGCGUGGCAUGCCAGGGCCUGGAAACGGUCGGCGAAGUCCUGAACCGUGGAGGUGAAGGGAAGGCGGCCUAGCUCUGCCAGGCGGCUCCCGCGGAUCGGUGGCCCAAAACGAAGAAGGCAGAGCUCGCGGAAGCGCUCCCAAGGGGGCAUGCUGCCCUCGUCCUGCUCGAGGGCAUAGUACCAGGUCUGUGCCGCGCCGCGGAGGUGGUAAGAGGCGAGCCAGGUACGCUCCGAGGCAAGGGUGCGCUGCCCGUGAAAGAACUGCUCGCACUGGUUGAGCCAGUUGAGAGGGUCCUUCGUGCCGUCAUAAGUGGUGAAGUCCAGUUUGGCAAACCGCGACGGUGUCUGAGUCGGAGCGUCAUGGCCGACUGGCUCAGAGGUGCGAAGUAGCGAGGAUUGGGGCGCCCGGUCAGCAUGGCCGCGGCCCGUGAAGUGCCCCACCGAGCCGGAGGGAUCGCUGAACUACAGAGUGGGUGCCGGCGGGUCUCCAGCCGAUGUGUAGACGGGUGGCGGCGAUGAUCCGGUCAACCAGGCCGGUAUUGGGGACGGCGACGGCAGGAAGCGCACUUGCUGGAUCGGUACGCCUCCCUGUGUGGGUGACCCGGGCCCCGUGCUGGACGGUGGCGGGGCCGGCAGCUGCGGCUGCGGCGGCACGGACCCGGGUGGCGUGGAGGGCGUAGCGAGGGCCGGGGCNNNNNNNNNNNNNNNNNNNNNNNNNNNNNNNNNNNNNNNNNNNNNNNNNNNNNNNNNNNNNNNNNNNNNNNNNNNNNNNNNNNNNNNNNNNNNNNNNNNNNNNNNNNNNNNNNNNNNNNNNNNNNNNNNNNNNNNNNNNNNNNNNNNNNNNNNNNNNNNNNNNNNNNNNNNNNNNNNNNNNNNNNNNNNNNNNNNNNNNNNNNNNNNNNNNNNNNNNNNNNNNNNNNNNNNNNNNNNNNNNNNNNNNNNNNNNNNNNNNNNNNNNNNNNNNNNNNNNNNNNNNNNNNNNNNNNNNNNNNNNNNNNNNNNNNNNNNNNNNNNNNNNNNNNNNNNNNNNNNNNNNNNNNNNNNNNNNNNNNNNNNNNNNNNNNNNNNNNNNNNNNNNNNNNNNNNNNNNNNNNNNNNNNNNNNNNNNNNNNNNNNNNNNNNNNNNNNNNNNNNNNNNNNNNNNNNNNNNNNNNNNNNNNNNNNNNNNNNNNNNNNNNNNNNNNNNGGAGGCGCGACGAUCGCCGGGCCGGCCACUGCGGCCAGUAGGGGGUGAUGGCGGGCGGCGGCUGACCGGGCCAGUGGUGGUGUAGAGGCCCGAUCGGCGCCGUGGUGGCCGCGUACCAGGGCAGGGCGGCUGGCCCGGUCGUGGCGGCCGGCGGCAAGGGCGGGGGCUGCCCGUAAGGCCCGGCCAGGUAGAGGCGGAUGCCCUGGACGGCGGUGACGAGGUCAUUAAGGACCCCAGUGAUCUCUGCUGGGGAGUAGACGGCGGCAGGUGGCGCGGUGACGGGCAGCGACUGGCCGGUGGAGGCCCCCGCAGAGGAGCCGAGCGGCGCGGUGGAGAGGGCGGCGGCGGCGGACAGCGGCAAGGUGGGCAGCGGCGGGGUGGGUGGUGGAGCAGACAUGAUCGGACCCAAGCUACCUGAUACCAAGGUGUUAGGAGCUAGGGUUCUGCCGGUUCUAGGGCGGAGAUUGUAGGGGAAGGACGGAGGAGGACGAGGACGAGGAUGAGGGCGCGGCGGCCGGCGGCUGGGCGCCGUCCUUGCGUGGUGGAGAAGAGGCGGCGGCGGCGCAAGAGGCAGCUAGGGUUAGGUCUCCCGGCUCCCUAAGGGAAGCCGAGCAAAUAAUGAUUGCUUCUUGCUUGAUUAGAUUGAUACAUCCCCUCUCCUUAUAUAGAGAGGUUUACUUGACUCCUAAGCAAACGAUCCUAAUAACGAUAAGAUAAUUGGGCUAAGCCCCUAAUAACGAUAAGAUAACUUGGGCCACAACCCACUGGGCUAAGCCCCUAAUAUGCCGGUCAUAACAUGUGUAUUGUCAGGAGAGUCACCAAAACUUUUUGUCUUCUAUGAAUAGCUGAAUAAAUUCCCCAUGCCUCUGUUUUGCUAUAUAGAGCUCUAGACGUACAUAUAUUUGUAUGAGUUCUCUAGCUGGUUCCUGAACUUAGAGCUUUCAUCUGUGAUUUGAUUAUUAAAUGGUUGCUGUUGCUACCAAAUUGCCACGUUUUUGGCGUAGUUACUACAACAUACCUUGCCUGUCUCCACUAUGCUCAUGUAAUUUUGCUCAUUUUGUUCAGGGAAAUGUGGUGCUAUGUGGCCUACGGAAUGGGAGCAUAGUCCCUGUGGAUGUGCGGGAAAGGCACAGUAAUCACCCUACUGGUCGAUCUUCACCUAGCACUGCUAGGGGGACAGUUCCCAUGCUGUCUGCAAGGCAUAAUGGCAGAGGGAGAAACCAGGUAAAUACCACUAUUAGCACACAGUGUGUUUAAUGUAGCCAUCAAAAGUUACCAUCUCAGCAUUGUUCAAGUUUUUUUUUUUUGUACUUUGACAUAUCACUAGAAUAAAAUGAUAUUUUGAAUGCCUAACUAGGCAAUUCAGCCCUACAAUGAAUGUAUCAUAUGAUUGUGGUUUGGGAAUAAAAAUCCUUGCAGGCUGAUAAGGCAAAAUCAUCUAGGGUUAUCUCUAUGCCUUCAGCAGUUUGCAGGUAACCAUUAUUAUUCUUGGCUUGCUGACACUCUAGUUUGGACAUGGUCAAGUUUCUUGGUGCUAAAAAUUGAUAUUGUUACCCAGCCUGGUUUCUCUGUCGUCGGAUGAACACUACUUCUUAGGGAGCUCCAUGGAUGGAUCGGUAAGCUCGUUCUUAAUCAUUUUUUGUGGUAUCAAUGAAUGAGUAGAUGUGCUCAAAUUUUCACAGGAUUUAUUUGCCACUAACUAUAAUAUUUUCUUAAAACUCAGUGCAAUUUAACAAGAUGAUUUUUUUGCGGGGGUAACAAGAUGUUAACUGCAGUAAUAGAUAAAAUGAGGCUGAGAGUAGCCCCCCGACACAUUAUUUUAAGAUAGUGAGAAUACAAGAUACACUGGUUUAUUUGCCCCGUGAAAUAAAUCAAUGAGAUUUAGUCCUCCCCAAAGGGGUUAUUGCCCAGUUCCCAGAUGUUAACUAAUACUCCCUCCGUCCCAAAAUAACUGUCUCAACUUUAGUACAACUUUGUACUAAAGUUAGUACUCCCUCCCUCCCAUUAUCUAAGGCGUCUUAGUUUUUCUAAAAAAUCCCAAAAUCUAAGGCGCUUUAGCUCUCUUGUACGGUUAGACUGCCACGAUUUUUCCUCACCUACUUUCUCUCGUACGGUUAGCUAUCGAACCAACUAUUUUUGAGCGCAUGAGAGGUGUUGAGGCUGGAAAACUGGAUCUGUCAAAUGGGUAGUUAGAGGAGAUCGUGGAGUCUUUUCGCAUGCAACUGUACGACUCAGAAACCACCACUAUGCGUUAAUUCUCGUGCAAAACACUUAGGUGCCUAAUAUAAUGGGAAGGAGGGAGUACAAAGUUGAGACCCUUAUUUUGGGACGGAGAGAGUAUUAGUUAAAGUUUCAUGUAUUAGCAGCAUAAUGAGUUAAAAAGUCUACAUGUUUCCUGCAUCUUCAUUACAAAUAUUAGCAGCAUAAUGAGUAGACGCUUUAUUGUAUGCAGCGAAUUUCAAAUUGAUACAAUUUCAGCAUUUUGGGACAGAUAAAUUAUACAGUAUUAUUUAAAAUGAAUUAUAAUUCUGUCUUAUCUGAAAUUAACAGAGCAUUAUGCUUCUCUGAGAUGGUAACAAAUGUUUCAUGCAGCAGCUUGACUUUUGUGUUUUCUGUUGUACAGAUCAAGCUAUUUGAUCUCCGUCUCAUUCAGAAGGGGGCUAUACAGUCUUAUGCAGGGCAUGUGAAUUCACACAAUAAUUUACCACUUGUUGUUGAUCCAUCUGAAACCCUACUUAUGUCAGGUAAAUUUAUUAUUGGUUCUAGGCAUCAUUGUGGUUGUUUUUGUCAUAUACUGCUACAAAGAAUGUGUUUUGAGGUUACCUAUCGAAACUGAACGUGUUUUUUUGGAUCGAUAAAAACAUUUCGAUGUAUUAUUUGCAUUUUCACUCGAGUGCCUCACUUCAUACUCCAGUUUGUGAGCAUUAGACUUAAAUUCGAUAAAUGUCAGCAGCUAUGCUUGUUCAUGCAGUGUGCCAGUAACAGAUGCAUUGGUAUUAACAAGAUCCCCACUCUGUAUGAUAUACAAGUGUAAGAGGGCUUUGGCAUUCCUGGAAUUAUUACAACAUCGAAUCAUGAGUUUGCGAAAGCUAAAUUUCGAGAAAACUAUGCUGUUACUAGCUGGUUCAUGUUUACUUUAUUAGGCUAUACAGGACAAUGAACAACAUAGUGACAUCUUUAUGAACGUGCAUGGCUAUAACAUUCCUGGCAAAUUGCCAUUUUCAGCAAAUCCUUAUUCUUGGCAGGUGGGGAGGACUGUACCGUCCGUAUUUGGAGCAUCAAAACAGGCGAGCAAAUAUUUGCCAAGAGUGUGGCUGACACUCUCUUCACUGCACUUUGCUGGCCAGAAAGCAACCUUAACUUGGAUGGUUCUUCUUCGCUGUUUGAUCUAAACCACAGUUGGGGGGCUUGGAUGGGAUCACGUGAUGGCCUGUUCUACAUGCAUGGUACUUAAACUGGCUGUGCACUGAUACAAACUCUGGAGCGGACGGAUGCAAUUACUGCUUUUUCUUGGGGAAGACGCAUCGAAGACGAUUGAUCCUGUUGGUUCACCGAAAAGUGUGCUCAAGCUGGUGUCGCUGGAGAGAUCUCAGCCGUCGUAGUUGAUCCUGUUGUUUCUGGAAGCGAGGGUUAGUUAUAUGGGAUCUGCUCCUCAUAGAGUAAUAGUGAUGAUGAUCAUGUUGUUUCUCUUAGUGAUAGGUAAGUCACCUGUCUAGUUGGGUAUCUGAGUUACCUUAGGAAAGCAGACCAUAUUGUAUCAUAUGCUUUUUUUAGCAUCGCUAGUUAGUCAGCAAUGUGAUAUUUUCUGCAAUGCUAGCAAACAAACAUAUUUCUGAACUCUGUUUGUAUUCUAGCAUCAUAUAUUCAUAUUAGCAAACACUGCUUCGGAGGUAUUGGUACACCAUUCCAGAUCUUUUUUAUCACACAAAACUGGUGCAACAUUUUAUUCAGCUCUUCCUACUUGCUACUAGCUACACCCAGGCAUGUUCAGGGUAUGUUGCUUGGUACUGUCUACAUUUACAGCACUUCAUCUCUCAAACUUCCAGUUCCAUGUUCAAGUUAAACCUAACGAGCUUUAUAAAUUCUCAACAG
rnacentral:lncRNA from 1 species